UUUUUUUUUUUUUUUUUUUUUUUUUUUUUUUGUUGAUAAAUAUACAUGAGAGAUUAGUCGACGGCGUGGUUGCUUAAGAACCACCCGAUCCAUAAGUGCCGCCAUGCACCCAAGCUGUUGCCAAUUAGAUCACCGCUCCCACUCGUCCCGAUGCAGCGCUGGCAAAUUGCUUUCUGCCGUCACAACCGUGCGAGCUAGCAGCCAAUCAAGACAUUGGCCAAGCAGAAUACGAGUAAUCAUGGGAUAUUGGCAUAUUUUAUUGCCCCUGUUUAAAAGGCAAGAAGAUGUUUUGGGAGUACAUGGGCUUGAACAGCAAAACAUUUCUAUUGUUUGGAUACAAUAAAAUUAUUUUUUUAAAAAAAUCAUUUGAUUACUUUAUAAAUACAUUUUUCACUCCUCAUGCUUUUCCUAGUAUUGUUGCCCUCUUUAAGAACUAGUUAUUUUUUCCAUUUUGUUCUGGAUAUUUUGUCCGUGCACAUUUAAUAAAACUUCCAUAUCACUUGAGAUGGUCUCAACAAAUAUAGGAUUAGAGUGGAUCGGACAAUCAAGCAACCAAGAAGCCUAGUGGGCAUGGUGCCCAAGUUUAAACCUCUUUUGUUUUCGACUAAUCGUCAACUCUUAUACUACUUCUAUCUCUACUCGUGCUCCAAUAUAACAUGUCUAAGGGAGGACUUAGUUAGGUCGGAAGAUUAAAGGGGAUGAUUCGAAUUUUAUUACGGGUAUAGAUGUUUGAGAUUCCUGGCCUGCAAUCGGGCUUAGUACCUUAUAUUUUACCCGAGCCAAGUUGACUGGUGGCCCAAGAUUAAUAAGAGCACCAAUUAUCAAGUGAUGGUCCCAUGUAUGAGCUGGGAUAGGACACCGGCACCUUUUAAUGCCUCAAAUCAAGAUGUACGAGUCAUGCUCGUGCAUGCAUUCGAAGAAACAUCCAACUUCUUUUUAACUUCUUCUAACCAUUUUUUGCCGAUGAUAACAAUUCGAUCGGCUAUUAAUAACGAGUGAUCCAAGAGACAAGAGGAGCACAUGAUAGAGCUUUUAACGUUUGACUGGGACAGAGAGGGACGAAGAAACCAAAGCCACUGGCUAGUCGCACGAGCUGCAUCCCUUUUGAUUAAUUUGGCCGGCAGACAGCAGCGAACGGACUAUAUUUCAGUGGCGGUACAGAUAUAGUAAUAAUUUUGAUCAUGUUCAAAAACAACCCAUUAAUCAAUAACCCUUUGUUCUGGUGGCCGGGAAGUUUUCAAGUUCAAUAAACUGUGAAAUCUGCAGCAAUUUGUGUGUGUGCCCGUGUGUUGGCAGUGGCACUCCUUUCUAAAAAUCUUCAUGCGUCUGGUGUGUAGGAAUGCAAACGAACCGAAUCGAGUUGAAUUUUGGUCUAAUCGAACCGAGACUCAAGUUAAUUUUAAGAAAUUCGAACUCGAGUUCGACGAGUUCAAAACGUCAAACUCGAGCUCGAGUUAAAAAAAAUAAAAAAUAAUUAUUUUUUAACAAAUAAUAAAAUAUUAGGAAUAUAUAUGUAAUUUUAAUAUUAAAAUAAAAAUAAAAAAAUAUAUAAUUGAGCUCGCGAGCCACUCAACGAGUUUGAUAUUUUUGAACUCGAGUUCGAUAUUGAUCGAGCUUAUAUUUGAGCUGUUCGCGAUCGAUUCGUUUGUAACACUAGUCUCAUGUUUUUCUCCUUUGAGAUUAACACAUGUGCUUAUGUAAACAAAUCAAUUGUAUGCCCAAGUUUGCCUAUAAACAUAGCGGCUUAGGGUUUGCAAUGGUCUGCUUGGGGCAAAACCUAUUUCCUGUUAGCUUAUAUAUGAAUCUCUACUUAAUUGCGGCUUAAUCUUGGAAUCAAUGGGCAAAGAGGAAUUUAGCUAGCGAUGGUUAUUUUCGUUAGUAAACAAAUGUUUUGAUCUGAUCAAUGUUGAAGAACACAUGUACGUGCCUCAUUGUGCUUGUCAAUUCUGAGAGAAAGAAAAAAAAGAGGAUUAAUUUUCUAUUGAACCACAGAGAGGCAGAAUAUCGUUGGGAGGAGUUCCAACUUCCUUUUAGAAUUUGAUUUUCACGGGCACAGGGGAACGAGUAACCAGUGCACGUUGGAACGAGUAGCCCGAAAAAACACAACAAAUCUUGACAGGUUCUAAUUAAAAAAAUUAAGGGCAUAAAAAAGCAAAAUUAGAUUGAAAUGUGUGCGCACGUGCAGACAUGUGUGUGUGUGAAAUCUGUGGAAGCUCCUCCUAAUGCACACGUGCAUACAUGUGUGUGUGAGUGCGUGAAAAACUGAGAGCAGGAAAGAGGAAGAAGCUAAUGAAGGCCUAAAAGGGGAGAGAAGAUGGCUCCCAGAACCCUGCUCAGUGGUGUUCACUCACUGUGACUGUCACUGAGGCGGGCAGAUGAUUUUGCAGACUUUCUUGGUAAGUAGUAGUACUGCUGUUGACGAGGGCCGAUUUUUAAGACAUAAUCCGCUGUGUCUUAAGCACACCACAUCAGUUGUUCCUUUCAAAGCAUGACCAUUCGGACUGAUCAUCAGACUGAAUCUGCAUUCUUUUUUUUUUUUUUUUUUCUAUAUUACAUGUACAAUCCAAUGUGUAGGAGUAAUAUUAUACUAUACCAGGCCACUUGCGUUCAAUCCCAGUGAAUAUUAACUUCUUCAUUACUGCUUCUUUUGUUUUGUGGAGUCAGAUUUUUCUUGAACAACUAGCUAGCUAGCCAGCAGUCAAAGGAUGCCUUUCGUUGACUGAGUAUCUAAAACUAAAUCCCUUUUGCUUUCCUUAUUUAAUUAGUUGUCCAUGAUGGUCUACUAAAUCUGAACUACCCCUUCCUUCACCUAAAUCUAUCGAUAAAACACAAUACUAGUACUACAUGAAGAAACUAAUAAGCUGCAAUGGAUUUGGUAGAUGUACCAGAUAUAUAGGUCAAACGACACGUGGCACUCAACUCUCAAACGAAGGGGGAAAAAAAAAGAAAAAAGAAAAAAGAAAAAGAUUAACAAGAAUCCUACUUAUGGUUUUGUGUAGUAAUACUUAAAACAUGUGUAGUAGAAAAAUAUAUAAGGUGUCCGACUAUAAAGAAAAAAAGAAAAGAAAAGGAUGUAUAUAGAAAGGGCAGAGACAGAGAAAGCAAUAUAUUAGUACAUAGGUGCAGUAGAUAGUAAGAGAGAGUGAGUGAUAGGUGUCCAAAUACUGAGGAAGGGAAGAUGGAGGUGUACCGUAGCCUGUAAAAAGCAGCGUACAAUUCUGCCUCGCUGUCCAGCAUGUGAAGGAGUUGUGGUUCCGUUCUCCCAUUCAUUCAUUCAUUGAUUCAUUCGUUCAUUCAUUCCCUUUCUGUCUCUCUCUCUUUCUCAGCAUUUGCCAGUACUGUUGUUGCUACCAUUUAAACCCAAGCCCAACUGGCACCUUUUGGUUCACUCUCAUUGAGAGCCAGCCGAACGGGGUACGUCAGGACAAAACAGGUCUUAGAUUUGAGCCUGAUUCUCUCCUUUGGUCUUUUCCUCCUCCUCCUCCUCUUCUUCUGCUUUUUCUUCAGUACAGAGGAGCCAAAUUUAGCUGGUUUUCUCUCUUCAUUUUUUUUCUUUCCUCUCUUGAUUCACUUAGUCCAGAAAGAAAUAGUAACAGAAAAAAAUGGACUACUUUGUGGCUAGCACUCCUAAAUCAGAGUGCAGCAGCGGAUGUGAGUCUGGCUGGACUCUGUACUUGGGCAACUCCUUUAUUUCUUCGCAUAGUAAUAGAGAAAAUGGUAAUUUUGUUGAUGGAAAGCGUGGUUUUAGUGAAGAAAAGAGAAGUGAGGAAGAGGAGGAGGAUUUGUCAAUGGUUUCUGAUGCAUCUUCUGGACCUCCACAUUGCCCUGAAGAAGAAGACUGCAUGUCCAAUAUUAAUGACAACAAUGCUGCUCGCUGCUUUUUCCAUGCUGGUGAUGCCACCACAUUAUGCAAAAGCAGAAGCCGCAAAAAGCAGAAAACUUUAGAAAAUCACUGCCGGAUGAAGAAGGCAGUCCGUGAAAAAUCAUCUUUACUAGAUGAUACUGCCAGUUCUCCUGUCUUCGAAAUGGACCUCCCCGAUGUCAGUUCUGAUCAUUAUAAAGUUGCAUCGAGAGUAUACACCUUCUUUUAUAUUAUCCCUAGCUCGAUCUCUUCAAAUUUCAAUGCUCGCUUUAUAGACCAGAUUUUAACUUCAAUAUUUGAUCGCCAUUUCACAGAAAGAUUUCAACCUCCCCAACAAUCAUGGUUCAGCUGAGAUGGUUUUAGAUUUUUCUCAGGGCUAUUCUACAACCCAUUUCGAGGUAGCCCAUCAGAACAUUCGUUCAACUAUAAAAAUUAAGUAUUUAUUUCGUUUAUGUAUUGACCUUGAUUAGGCUAGCAUAUGCUUAUGCUUAGGUAUGCUCACAAAUUGUUACAACCGACAAUUUCAUUUCUGCAGGAGGAAAGCUCUGCAUACCACUUGCAGGAUCAAUACGGUUUUUUCCAUUCUUCUUUAUCUGGAAACUAUCUGCCUGAAAACCAGUUGAGUUUUGGCUAGUUGCACUUUCAUUCCAGAAAAAAAAAAAAAACUCGUCAAAAACAGCGUCUAACUUUUAAUUAUUCUCAACAGGUGGUAUGGAAGCAGGGGGUGGCAGCGGUGACAUGAAACUGUCUGCAACAUUCAGCAAUUUGUUGCUGCUGCUGACGAUGAAUAUGUAGUUGUAGUAGGUAGACUGGAGGAAAGGUCAUCAAAAAUUAUGUACCCCAAAAAAAAAGAAAAAGAAAAAAAAAGGUUGUCGAAAAUGCAAAAGUAACUGGAUCUCAAAAGAGAUCUUGUUGCUCUCCCUUUCUUCCUUUUUUUUGUUUUUUGUUUUGUUUUUAAUGUCUUUUUCUUUUCUUUUCCCUACUGCUGCCAAUGCAGUGGUGAACAACCAGAGAGAGGGAGAAAAAUAAAAAAAAGGUGUGGGGAUCAGUUUCUUGUUUCUCGAAAAAAUUCCAUUUUCUUGUCAAUGAAUGAUUGGUACAAAUGGGCUCCAAUUCUCUGACGAAAAUAUAUCGCACAAAUAUGUCAAAUACUACCUUGCCUUGAUCUUUUGAAUAGAAAGAAAGCCUCGUCAGAUACAAACUUACAGAUUCUCAAGAAGCAAUUCUUUUGUUCCUGAUCUGGCAGGGGAAGCUGCAUGCUAAUAUUAGUAGUAUUAUUCUUUCUUACAUAAUAUAGUUAUGCUAACUUUGACUUGUCAUGUCACUCAUCAAGCUAACUUUCAUAGUAUUUAAUAGUCAAAUUUGGCAUCACAAAACAGCAUUGAAACAUGCUAGAAUUCCUAUGUCCUUUCCAGAAUGGGGCUUGAGGGACCAUGUCAGUUGUCGAUGGUCAGAUGCUGAAGCACAAAUGCUGCGUUAUUUGAGUUGGAGAUUUUGAUACAAAGAGAUUUCAAGAAAUCAUUUGAGCUUUGAUAUGAAAUGCCAAGGACAAAGCGGCAUUCCGACCAUGCAAUUAAGAAUCUCCUCUCCGAAGAGGCAUUACAUAAUUCUUGACAGCUAGUUAUAUUUUAACUCGUCCACCUCAAUGAACUUGAUGGGAGAACGGGGGAAAAAAAGAAGAAUUUUGUUUAGGUAGGAUUCUAUCCAAUGUAUAUAUGUAAGAAACUAAGAAAGCCCUCAGCAUUCGCAGUACUAGCAGUAGAACAAAAUCUUUUAAAAGACUUGAUUAUAGACCCCAAUGUCUCAAAUUUUCCGGACAAGACUCCAUCUACGAUCUAGUAAUUCUCCUACUCAUAAUAAUUCGAAAUUUUAGCUUUUAUACCACACCAAACCCAAAAAAAGAGAGAGAAAAAAAAAAAGAAAUGAUGAGAUAAUGAAGUGAAAUAUGUGAUGGGCAGACGGUCAGAAAAGUACAAAGGGGAGGAAGUGCCAAAAUUAAUGUUGGAAUAUGUCAUACUGCAUCUUCAUGAUCCCCCCUUUUUCUUCAUGCUCAGAGAUCCUUCGUGAGAUCUUCUUGACCCGAUGCAACAUCACCAAUUAUUUUAAAGUGGUGUCUUUAUCCCUUUGGAAGGUUUCUUACCAUGAUUCAUAAUCUAAUUUAUACGAGUAUGUUCGCCAACUCCAAUUGAAAAAACAAGAAUCAAAGUUAAAUUGAAAGCCAACCAACCGGCUGUCCUUUCUUUCUUUCUUUCUUUCUGCUUUUUUUUUUUUCCGUUACAAGAAGGAAAAAUUAAAGGGUUUCAGCAGAUUAGCUUUAAACUAUAUGCUUAAUUGUUACAAGUUGGUACCAUAACCAGGACAAGGCUCAAAGACUCUGUGUUACGUUGAGAAAUGGGAGUCAGCUUCUCCCACCAGUGUAAUUAAAGAAUUUGUUGUUUAAAAUCUGAAAUCUGGCACUAAUAGGAGACAAUGGAAUGAAUGGCUAUAGACAAAGUAAAGAAAUAAUCAAGAGAUUGGGAGAGGUGACUGGGCUCUGCCUCCAUCCCCGCUUCUUUUCACGCUCCAAAGAACCAUACUGUAUUACGUUUAGGAAUCCAAAGGGUAUGGGAACGACAAUUUUGCCUUACCAACUACCACCAGGACAAAGCCCUCAGUCGUUUGUACACAGGAGGAGGAAAGGGCGAAGAUUUUUAUUUCUCCUACUCUGCUACUAGUAGUAUUAAACAAACAUCUUUGCCUCUGACCCUCAAUUCAAUUUUCACUCAGGACUGUUCCCAUUUCUCAUGACAACAGUCAAUCUUUGCUACAGAAAUGGUAAAAUGGCCUUCCUCUGUCCGUAUCCAUGCCAUUCCCACUUCUCAGAGGCGAGAGGACCUAAAAUCUACCACAGCGCCACAGGGAUGUGGUGUAAAUCAGCCAGUUAUACGGUAACAUGCAUAGAAGUGUACUUAGAUCUACCCUUUAGAUCAGACAUCACCGUAUUGUUGUAACAGGGACUGGAGCUCGUUAACCAAUUACUCUGUCAGAGUACGCGGCCACCAACACGAGUGUUAAGGCUCUAUUUGGGUGUAGGUCGAAUCCUUUAACCUGCAUUCUAAAAAUUCACACACGGAAUCCUUAGUGUCACUCUUCCAAUGACAAUUCAGUGUCACUUCUAUAUUUAUGUCAAGUGUCAUGUUUAUUUAAUUUGUUAUGUGCUAUUUAUUUAAAUUGCUUCUAUCAUCACAUGAUAAGUGGGAUUGACACUGGAUUUGGCACCGAGUAGUGACAUGGAGGGUCCCGAUUGAAAAAUGCAGGGCUUUCUAGAAUGUUUCGCCAGCGGGUACUUAGGCAUCCUUCUGGACCAGUGAUGAUUCAGUCUUCUCGGAUUCCCUCUUGGCCUCGUUGGGCCAUCCCCUUCCCAUAGUAUAAUACUACUGGCAAGGUAAACUUUUGACCUUGUAUUUAUUCGUUUGUUAACAAAAUUUUUAUUUUUUUGGUCAAUAAAAAAAUAUUAGGAUUUUUAGAAUAAUUCAGUAACCAAAAAAUUCUUAUUUUUAAAACUAAAAGAAUGAACUUAAUUCCACUUCAUAUUGAUUACAUCAACUCAAGAGAUGAUGAAAAUUUUCUAUUUUAUAGAAAAUUGAAAAUGGGUCAAUUUUUGAGUGUAAUCCGGUUAUUCAAAACUUUUAUUACUCAUUUAUUUGUUUGUUGUACAAAAAAACUUUUUGAAUUCCCAAUAGAAAAUUGGAUUUGCCCAAGAUCUUUGGAAUUCAUUUAUGUCUUUGAGGAGUGGCUUGUUUUGAUUUUGAUGCAUUUCAUGUGACUGGCUUAUAUGGUCCCGGAAUAUGGAUGUCCGAUCCUUAUGGACUAACGGGCAAAGUACAACCCUUAAAUCUGGCAUGGAGCUUGGAAGGUUUUGAUCCUUUUGUUCGGGAGGAAUAACCUCCCUUCGAAUUUCCUUUUUGGCCCCGUUGGGCCACCCCUCCCCAGAGUAUAAUACAACUAGCAAAGGAUCUUUGUUACUCCCUCCGUCCCAAUAAGUUUGUCACUUUUGGGGAAUUGUGUUUUUUAUCAACAGUGGUCAAAGAGUGAAGGAAUUGUGUUUGCUUUCCGUUUCUAUCCUUCAUUUAUUGGUGGGAAAAUAUGUAACUUUAAAACCAUUUGAAUAUUUGAAGGUACAUGUGGGGCCAAUAUAUUAUCUUUUGUGCCUAAAUCAAAGAGAAAGUGGGACCCACAACAUUAUUUUAAGAUUUCUUGUGCAAGUGCAUGAAGGGUAAAAAUUGGAAUGUGUUACAAAAUUAUUAGCCAAAUUUGGUAAGAUGACAUAAUUUUGGGACAGACCAAAAAGGAAAGUAUGACAGUUUUAAUGGGACGGAGGGAGUACAAUUUUUUUUGUUCCACUGCUUAUCUGGUUGACAUGUGUCCUGUCCUAUAUGUAACAAGUUUUAAAACAUCUGUAAGUGUUAGUUUAACAAGUUGCAUAAUAGAAUAAAGUAUAAUAGGGAAAUGUUUAGCGGAAGACCCCGAGGUUGAUAUACACAAUUCUGCUUUUGCCCAAAAAACAGAAGGAAACAUCUCAAGGAAAGAGUUCCAUUAGAAAAAGGAUAUUAAAAUUACAAAAACAAAAAAAAAACUAUUAUUACCAAAGGUAGAAAUCAGAGUAGAACACUUGAGCAUAGUAAUAAAUAUCGCGUAAAAAACCUGGAUUUAGCUAAUUCCAAGAAGCCCUGAAAUUCUUCAUGAAUAUAGUCCACAGAACGUGAAACCAGUGGUAUCAUUAACCAGGAUUUAACGAAUCCUAAUUGAUAGUCGCAUCUCACCACACUCCCCAAGAUAGACAUUGAUCUAUAUAUAUAUUAAUAUAUAUAUAUAGAGCAGACUUAGUAGUAGUUGGUUUGUUUCUCUGGUUAAAAUUGAUUCUGGCGUAUAGGUGGGUCGGACCACUUGAAUGCAAUGCAACCACCAAAUUAUGCAGCAUCGGUGGGGCGAUUGGUUAUCAGCGACCGGACGGCUCAACAGAAACUCAAACCUACAUGGUAAAGGACUUGACAAAGCUCUCCCAAAAACAAAACCUAAAAUCCCAUAGAGAAAGAGAGCCCCUGAAGGUUUACAAAUAACACAUGAUAAUUAUAAUUUGGGGGAUCGUGUCGGAAAGCCAAGUCCACUUGCUGUCAUUACCUAAAAACCACGUCAUCUGAGCAGCGAAAAAAAUCUAAGGGUUGUGUCAUAACACUCCCUUGGUCUAGUUGGGUCUAUAUACCCACUAGCCCCUACCACAGCCACCUUAGGCUCCCCUUCCCCCUAAAUUAGGAUAGAGUAGGUUAUACAAAUGUAUCGUUGCUGACAAAAAAAAAAAAAAAAAGAUCAUCGACGCUUGCAAUUGACUAAUGCAUGAGGAAUGUUUGGCGUACUAAAGAGGGCAAAACCAUCAGAACACUAAUAGUUACUCCGGAGAAAAGCAUGUUUAAGAAUGAGGAAAUUUAUUAUCAAAAAAAAAAAAAAAGAAAGAAAGAAGAAACAAACCAAAUUAAUGGCGGAUGCGUUUACAAGUGUUUGCCAAAAAUGUACCAUAUAGCUAAUCCUAGCCACUGUGUUAAGAUGUAAGAAAACAAUUAUAUCAACUAUGGUAUGGUAUGGUAGUAGAAUGAUGGGAUUUUUUACUAGUUAUGGAAGUAGACCAGAAUCACGGCACUUUAGGAAUUAAGCAAUCAACAUCAUCGUCAUCCCCCACGCCCCUUAUUUCCUUCAACCACUAUCAGCAUCAAGACAGUCACGGCCCUACACUCCAUAUGGAUUCAAUUAUCCUCGCCUUUAAAGCACAAAAGGACAGCAAUUUGGAUAUUACAUUUACAUACUCACUUAGGUUCAAGGGAUGUCAAUGAAAUGAUCUUGAAAUCUAUACCAGUCAUCAAAACAGUCUCAACGAUGAUUCAACGGUGAUAGCGUAUACAUUGUCAGUAUAUAUAAGAUUUACUCUACAUAGAUUAAUCUUUCCUACACUGACAGUAUAUAUAUUAUCACCGUUAGAUAAAUGAAAACUAUACAAAAUUUAGAUUUGAAAGUCAACACUUUGAAAUAUGAAAACCACUCAUCAGAACAAAAAUCAAGAGAUGAGUUGUAAGGCUGGUCAACUCGCAAAGAUCUCCCUCCUUACAAACUAUUAAAUUUUCGCCAGCUACCAGGGCUGCCAUAGGAUGCAUAUUGGCUGACGAUGACUACGUUCAAACUUCCAAUACCGAGUCAUAUAAAUUUAAUCAAUUCAAACUCCUGUAAAAUUUAAAAAAAAAAAAAAAAUCCCAUGCAUGCAUCUAAAAAUUAUCUUCCAUGUAAAAAUUAUUCACUACAGCAAUCUUUUGUGCCUAUAACAGGCAAUAGCAACCCCAUACAAGAGAAGCGUACCAGCAAUACCGCCACCAAUCAUCCGGAGAAAAUUUUGCGUCCCAUAUUCUUUGUCACCCCAUGCAUCUAUGUGAAUGUUUAUCCCAAAUAUUCCUUCCACAGCUAUGAAAACUCCCAACACAAGGGUUGCUGUCAUUAUCAUAACCACCAUUUGCAGCAGUUGGUUACGUUUAUCAUCCUGCACGAUGUUCACAUAAUCUUCUGUGUCAUCCAUGUGCUCCCUCAGCUUCCAAAAAUAAAGAGUGUUAGAACCCUAGUAUUAACAUACCUUGCUACGCUGGGGGUGUAACACUGUGGAAAUCAAACUUACAGCUGCAUCCGGAAAACUUACAAGCAAAACUAAUCCAAAUAUCUUAAAUGCAUGUAAAUGCAAUGCUUUCUACAUCCAUAUUAUUUUCUAAACUCGGCAUGGACCAUGACGUGCUUUUGAUAAAACUAAAAUUUGGAGUUUCAAAUCUAAAAUAUAAAUAUGUUAAAUCACUGAAUUGUUAAGUAUUGACAUCCUAACAUUUGAAUGUAUUUAAUAUUAAGUGACAUGUGAAUAGCUUUUCACUUAAUUUUUGGAGUAAGUUUUGUCUAGAUAAUUUGAUGUUGUAUUUUUUGUUAUCAAACACGUCUAAAUAUAUUAAGAUUUGAAUCCAUUAAAUUAAAUUGUUAAAUUAAGUUAUCAAACAAGGCAUUGGGCCAUAAGACAAGCAUUCAAACAGGAGACGGUGACUAGAGAAACAAGAUGAAUGACAUACUGUGGAUAACUUGUUCAAUGUACCAUCAAUCUGAAUGAAAUAUGCUUCCAAAAGCAUUUCGAGAUCUCCCACAUGAAGUUGUUUGCUUCUGGAACUGCGCCUUGAAUUGGUAUGGCAUAGACUACUUUCAGCGUCAACCAAAUUAGAAUCACAAAAUAAAUGUUCCUGCUGGUUGUGUAAUUGUUGAAUACCUGCAUCACAACUGUUGGGCCCCCAAUUGAGUAGAGAUUUCAGAGGGAAAACCUUAUACUUAUCAGGAUGAGAUAUUUAACAAUCGAGCAGGAAGCCAAAAACAGCAUGUUUGAGAAAAUGCUCAAUGUAAAGCAUAAAGUAGUGCUGAAGCAAGGGGAGAUAAAAAAAAAAAAGUUAUGUAUCAUACAUGUUUGGCUGUUUAGCUUCUUCAUCAGUUGUGGCAAAUUCCUCAUCGAUAGAGGAAUUUGAAGAAUUUUCAAGUUGCCAUUCUAUAUGUUUGUCAGUCAGAUACAUCCCAGCCAUAUCUUGAUCAUCAUUCAACAGACUUUCUAACUCAUCGCGAACCUGGAGACAAAGGUCUUUGCAUCAUUUGUCAGGAAAAAGAUACCAUAAUGGUUCAUCUGAUAUUGAGCAAAACUAUACUACCACUAAAAAGUUGAAAAUAGCAUAAUGGUAGAUGGUUUGGGAGAGGAGGACUGUGGGAUCAGUACAUAUGCCCAACACAGGGAUUUUAAUAGCGGUCAAGAAAGUUAUUGUAUCAGAGACAGAGAAGCUGAGAAACAAUCAUCAAGAAAGCUGCAAAGAAGAGCCAACAGAUUUCAAAAGAGAUAAAAAGGCUCGAAACUCGUGCUGCAUGUGUAACAGAGAAAAGAUCCCCAAGUUAAAAAGAAAUCUCCUGCAGUUUUCUCGAUAAUGAUCCUGGCUGCCAAUUUUGCACAACCAAUCGGGAGAGUAUAAAACCUGCUAAUAUAGUUUGAGGGAGGUCCGGGAAACCAAAUUCGUUUGCAGCUUGAGUCCAGUGAAUUUAACAAGUCUAACGAGGGUUUAAGGAGUUUCUGCAACUACAUUAAUGACCUGAGGUAAUACAGGUAUACUCACAUUACGAAAUACAAUCAGUUCUUACGUUCACAAAAUUUUCUAAAUGUUAGGCUGGGUUAAAUGGUGCUUAAAGAGAGAAUAACCCCGACGGGAAAGUAUAAGCACUCCACUACGUGGGCUGCAUAUCUCAUGAACUCAAUGAAGCAAAUACUUUUGCCAUAAAAACACAGUGAAAUUAGUGAGUUUAUACAACAUCACAUCCUUGAAUUACUAAUAUGAACAAAGAACAAAAUAUACAAGUGGUGAAUUAGGUGUAAUCCUCAAAAUAAUCUCGAAUCACUUAUUGGAGUUACAAAGCUCUUUAAAAAUGAAGCAUAUAAGAAGUGUGGUUUGGACCAUUUUGAGAGGCAUUUGUCAAGGUCAAGAUAAAAAUAGAAAAUCGUUGAUAAAUUUAACCAAACAAUCUUAAGUUAAUUAAAUAUUGAUUUUUCGUCCAAAACUAAUUUGAGAGCCAAAGGAAAAAAGUUGAUUCAAGUAGUAAUAUUAGAAGUUGUUUGAAUUUCAACCUUUUGCACACGUUUGGUUAAUGGAAUCAGUCGGCCUUUGAUUUGCUGCACUUGCUCUAAGUUGAGGCUACUAAUAUUGGAGGUCAGUUUAUUAAGAGCAGGACGAACUUCUUUCUCCAAUGCCCCAACCUAAAAUUAAACCACACAACAAUUAAUUCAAAAAAAAUGUCAAUUCAAAUCGCAAAAGUUUUCGGAAUCAGGGUAAAUAUUGCAUGAGAUGAAUGCAACAGAAUUCACUUCAUAACCAGAGUGAAGAAUGGAUAUUUUUACUUCAUUCUCCAAGCAACUGCAAGCAGACUCAAGGCAUGCCUCCAAGGCAACAAACUCAAGUGGAAGUAGCUUUGGUCCGUCCUUGCUCUCUGCAAUAUGUCGUUUGCUACCUCCUAGACCUUCAUUCAUGUUUAGGGGGCUUCUGGAACAACUUGAAGCAAUAAAGGCUCUUGAUUGAGGCUCUUCCAAAUUGUAGAAGUCCACAUUGUCCCCCUUCAAGACCACAUCAAAUAGUGAUAAAUUUAUUUUUACAUCUGUCAAAGCUUCUUAUGUAUAUUCUUGUAAAAUACUUUUUCUUCAACUACUUUUGAUCUUUUUAGAGGAUUCCAUUUUUGACUGCUCAUUAAUACUAUUGGUUUCUUAACACUCUACCUCAAACAGGAUUCCAGAUUUCACUUUGAGGGUUUAGAAAGUGAAGUUUAAGCCGAAAUGUUUGUAUAAAACCUCUUCAAUUCCUAUAGUAUCCGUCUUCCCUAAAUAUAUGAAUGCAAGUGAAUUCAUCAAUUUUGAUUUAAAAAUCCAGAGAAAAUUCCUUACAACUCCAGAAAUUCAACCCGAAAUUAUGCUUGUAAUAUACUAAAAGCCAAAACAGUUGGGCUUGUUCAAUUGCUAUGAAAGGCAGUUGGCAAUGCGUCACGCACAAUACAUCUAUCAACAAAUAGUUCAAUGCAGAUUAUCAGCACUGUCCCAAUCACCUAACACAGGCCAAAAGCAUCCGUGCUGGAACUUAUUUGGCCAUCAGACGUCAAAGAUAUGGCCAUCAUUGCCGGUGAUUUUGAUACUGAUGCAAUGUGGCUACUCCCAAUUGAAUACCAUUUUCUGAACAUGUUAGGUUUCAAAAAGUUGCUGGGCAAGUGUACACAAGAUUUCACAGAAAAAAGAAAAACUAUUUUAAAUGUUCCCAUGGCUUGUGGAUGAAACUUUCUACACUAGUCAAUGUAGGAACGAUAAAUCAACAAAUUGAGCAGCCAAUCAGUCACAAAGCACUAGUGCAGUAGUGGACAUGUACCAACGGGGUGAGGACAGCUUGGUGGUGGCGGAAGAUUUUCAGGCGCAGCUCCUCAACGAAGGGAGCAACAGAAGGGUCUUUAGAAUUGAGCAAGAUGACCUCAUGGGCAGUGAUAAUGGCCUUGAUAUGCUCGAGGCUCACCACAAUAGCCCGCUCCCGGCUGAGCAAGGUGGCCGGGUAGCCGAGGAGCGGGUCCAGAAUACGAAGAUCCCGGGUCUGCAGACCAGUGCGCCUCAUGAUUGCAUGCUUUCCUGCUUCCAAUACUUCGGGGGGAUUCCCUUCUGAAUCCAGCAAGACCCAGGUACGCCGAGUUCCCAGCAACCCCGCCUUCUUGGACUUCUUUGGGGUUAAAAAAUCGACGUCAUCAACAUGAUCAGCCAUAGCAGCAGUUUGGGAGUUGAAUCAGGAAUUAAUCCUCCUCAGUUGAUCCACAACAGGAUUAGGAAUAGGGUGUCCACCCCCGAAAAAUCACCACCCCUAUAAACUACUACUACUCUACUGUUGAAGAAAACAUGUACAAGACAAAAAGGGAACAGGAGAAGCACAAGUAGCAGGUGAAGGUUCAGUUGUUUCACCCCCAGACAUGCCUACUCAGUGUUUGCUGACCACAUCAUCAGUUUGAUGGAGCAGAUGAAUUUUACAGGGACAGUCAUACUCGGGGCAGGGGGUGACUCCAGAGAAUAUGAUCCGUUCUAACAUCUGGACACAGACUCCCCCACUGAGGCGUCCAAGGAUUUGUGACUCUGACCAACGAUUUCUAGGCACUAUCCUCUUCCAAUCUAAUACACUGUUAGUAUUCACACGUAAAGGACAAUAGAAAUCUAGUACUCAUCAUUUAUGAACAAGUUGUACCUUGUUAACAACAAUUGUUUCUUAUUGAUGCAAAAAUCUUUUGAAACUUAUCUCCAUAUUGUUUCAUUCACACACUAAAAAGACGGUUAAAACAGUAACAAGAGAAAAAGAAAAUUUAUGAGUAUUGCUUCGACCGAAUUCUGAUAGGAGGGCCAUAUCAAUGCUGGUGUUGAGUUUGGAUCUCGUAUCUGUGAAACUAAGAUGCCAUUCCUGGGUUGUGAAUUUAGUUGAUCUGAGGACUUGACAGCCCAACUCAUAAGGCCUUUAGCCCUCCUCAUACUAGGUGCUGGCAAACAGCAAGGUUCAAUUCUGGUAAUUGCCAAAGCAAUAAACUAACUGGUAGUAUCUCAUUCGUCAUGGUAAAUGUCUUGUUUCGAGUCUCCAACUUUCCUUUUUACUCUUUCUUUUCCUUUGUCAGAUUUAGAACGCGUUUUAAACCAAAACAAAUAAAUUAAAAAAUAAUUAACUAAACUCUUGUAAUCAUUUUUCAGUGCAUUCUGUGUAAUGCUUAUCUGCUAUGCAUGUAAUACAAGUUUUUAUUUUAUUAAAGAGAGUUAAGUUGAUCUAGGCUAGCUGACAUGUUUGUUCCAUCCCUUCAUUUUUUUUUUUUGCAAAAUUCUUUUCUAGGAAAAUUCUAAAUUGAGGACUCACAAAUUCCGGCUUUUGCAUUGCCAAGCCUGAGCCAUAUAAAACGAAAAUGGAAAAAAAAAAAAGGCUGAAGUAUAUAUACAUGCUCCAAAACUAUUGAAGUUUUUUUAUCAUCUCCUUUUCUUUUAAAAUUUUUUAUUGAAGAAAAGUCAUGAUACGAACAACAGCACUAGGUCCAUUGAUUUUCCUUCCUCUAAUUAACAUGGUUUUGAACAGAUAAAGUGACCUCUCGAAAUAAAUACACAUUACAUAGUAUUCCAGCAGUAACCGCCGCCCGAAGGGGGGGGGGGAUGGGGGGGCAUGGGAGCAGCUGAUUAGGGUGGGAGUGUGGAGGGGUUAUGCAUUCCUUAUAGACACAAAAAAGACACCAUCAAGCCAUCACAUUAAUCCCAAGUGCUUAUACCAGGAAAUUGCAAUCAAAUAUAGGACGAUGCUGCAAGCUGUUCCGCCGCCGCAGAAUAAGAUGAAAUAGUAAUUGGGAGGAUCAGUCUUUUGGAAGAGACUAAAGUCGUGGAUAUUCAUACUAAAAACUCCUGUCACAGUGGUAAAAGCCAUGAGCACAACGCCUGCUGUCAUGAACAACACCGCCUUUUGCAUCAUUCUGUUCCGUGUGUCAUCCAGCAUGAUAUUGAUGUAGUCUUCCGUGUCAUCUACGUACUCCCUUAGCUUCACAGGACCAGCGCGAGCAUUUUAUAAGUAUUCACUUAAAAAGCUAAUUAGUAGUAUUAUGUUCUUGAGAGACUCGUGAGAUCUUGUAACCAAAAACAAGAAAUGAAAGAAAAAAAAAUGAAGUUUCAAUUCCCCAGAUUGUAGAUUGAUAUGCAGAGACGACAAAUUGGUACCGUUUUAUCUUUUAAGGUUAGUUGUAGUACCAUUAGUUGCGUUAUCUGCAGUGCCCCAUUAAUAGAACCCUAAUACUGAAAGCCCCAAAAACCCUUGGGUGUUCCUUGGUAAACUUUUGAGAGCCUAAUUUUACAAACUUUUAAGGGGUAUUUUCAUUUUAAAUUCGUCCUUGAAAGUAGAAUUUCUCACAUACGCAGACGCACAAGGAAGAGGAUUGAAUGCCACGAGGGAAAUAAAAUUCAUGUCUAGAUGCAACAUAUAUAGUUAUAGUCUUAGAGAUGCUUGCACCAUUCUAGAAUACACAGGUUUCGAUUCCAAAUGAUCCAUCAAUAUACGAACUUGAACUUGAAAGCCUAUGAUUGACUUUGGACAACUCUUUAAUUUGCAAUAAUGCUUUCGAGGGAUAUAUCAGAGUUAGCGAGUUGAGUUACAUACAGUUGAUAGGCCAGAUAAUGUUGCAUCCACCCGAACAAAGUAGGCUUCCACGAUUAUUUCCACAUCCUUCACACCGAGAUGCUUGCUUUUGCCUAUCAUGUAUCUUCUACUGCUAGUAUGGAUUGCAAAUUGGCUUCCUCUGCUGAGAGAACUGGCUGUGCGGAUUGCCCGUUGCUGGUGGUGCUGUUCGGCAGGGUGAAAAUCAACGCUGAAACGGCUGGAAUUCCCUCUGUCUUGCACUAAGGUUUCACCAGAAACCCUGCUCACUAACAAGAUAAAAGAGAAUUAAGAGAUGCCAAAGCUUGAAAGAAGGUAGUAACAGCCGAAAGCUUGGGACGAGCAUAUACAAAGCGUAACGGGUAAAAGUUGAAAUGUAUAGGAUGUAAAAGAAACAUCCCGUGCCUUUCAUCCAGGACUCUCUGCACAAUUUCAUGUUUUAUGGAGGAUAGGGAAGAAUUCCUAAGCUGCCUCUCAACUGCAUGCUUGUUUGUCAGAUACAUCUUAGCCAUAUAUUCGUCGUUAUUCAGCAAUCGCUCUAACUCAUCUCGCACCUGAAAAUUAAUUAAGACAUUUGCACUGCUCCUAUUAGUGAUCUACGAAACAAAAUUAUGAAUAUUGACUGGGAAAAUUAAGGAAGAACUAUUACCUUUUGAACACGUUGGAAUAAUUGGGCUAACCGGUUUUUGAUCCUGUGCACCCGCUCCAAAUUGAGGGUGUUAAUUUUUGAAGUCACUUCAUCCAAUGCUGGAUAAGCUUCCUCCUCCAAAGCCGUUGCCUGCAGAUUUCAAAGCCAAAAAAAAAGGGUCGAUACAGCGCAAACCAUAAAAGGAAAAUAAGGAAAAAGAACAAUUCUCCGGGGAGUAUUAACCUCUUCGUCCAAAUAACCGCAAGCAGCGUCCAGGCAGGCUUCUAAUACUACAAACUCAAAAGGAAGAAGCAGGGGUGGUCCAGUAUUUUCUCCAUUUUGUCCCCUCGUCAAUAGCGACUCUUCUUCCCGUGACAGUGCUUCGGUAGCCUGGUGGUGCUGCAUGAUUCUGUGUCGGAGCUCUUCCACGAAGGGCACGACGGAGGGCUCUCUGGAGUUGAGCAGGAGGACUUCAUGUGCCGUAACUAUGGCUUUGAUGUGCUCCAAAUGGACGAUGAUGGCCCGUUCCCGCCCUAUCAAAGUGGACGGAUACGAGAGGAAAGGAUCCAAUAUCCGAAGAUCAAGGCCAGACAGGCCAGUCCUCCGCAUAACACCGUGCUUCCCUGCUUCCACUAUAUUUGAUUCGCCGGUUGAGUCCAGUUGUAGCCAUGUUCGGACCCCCGUGGCCUUCUUUCGGAGAUGAUCGCCUCCUCCUCCUCCUCCACUGAUGCCAGCCAUAGAGCGCUGGAAGAAGGGAAAAAAAAACAGAAUUUCAAUACUACGCUUAGAGAGAGUAUUAGUUUUGACUUUUGAGGUGGGAGGGAGGUAGCACCUGAUGACCUCCACACCACAGCCAACAACUCACAAAAUGUGAAAUAAGCCAGCCAGGGCAGGCGAAAAGAGCCACCUGAAAUUGAAAUUGAAUGCUUGCAACAAUAAUGUUGAGGCCAUGCACGAGAGUCUAAAUCAUGACGUCAAUGUUCAUGCUAUCUUGCUGAUUAAUUUAUGGGAAGAUCCAAUUGACAUGUGCUAACUAACCCAACCCAUGUAGUAAUUAAUUAAAGUACCAACUGUUCAAGGUUGACCACGCCCGUCCACCUGCUAACGUACUAAUAUUAUUUCUGGGUGUUGCUUUGCCCAGAAAGAGUUUGAGAUACACGUCACACUUUCACUUUUUAGAACCUGCAGAUUCGCUGCAUGGUGACGGUACCUUUGUUGUGGCGGUUACAGCCGGACGUAAUAUCAUCACCAAUUAAGUAUUACUCUCCAUUUAUUUAUUUAUUUUGAUUCUGGAAAUCUGGUAAAUAGCUACUGGCCUAAGUGAGACUAAUUAAAGCCAACUAGCUGAUGGAUGUAAGUCAAGCUUACGAAGUUUAAUUUGGCACGAGUACUUCAGUUUCUUGGGGUAGGAAAAUGGAUGUCAUGCCAGCACAAGACAAUUUUUUUUUUUUUUUUUAACCCUUCCACUCCUCCCCAGACUCUUCUUAUCUCCCCAUCCUCUUCUUAUCUCCAACUGCCAAGCACAAGAACCUCACAACAACACGACAAGGAAGAGUCUAAGAACCCCCGGCCUGACCGCUGAGCGCAUGAGAAAAAAUUUCAAUUAAUUUGUGAAGUUAACAUUCCGGAUGUGCCAUAUGCACAGCUCAAGAUCGUCUUCUUUCGUGUACACUGCACAGAUAUGCAAAUGCGAAGGAUUCCUCAACAAUUACAUUGCUGAAAGGAGGAAGUCUUGCAUUGCUCAUAUUCUUGGCCUGCGUACGUUGCAUCACCUUUUCUCUUCUUUUUUUGUUUUAAAUAGAAAAAGGGGUCUGAAAGUGCAUCGUCUUUCUUGCAAUUAUUUUUUUUAUGCCGAUGAACUGGAUAUGAGGGAAACAAAAAACAAAGCCCAUGCUGUUUAUGAGAUCAUUGGGUUAACACAAGUUGCACAGCAAACCGAUGUUGUUGGUGUAUCGUAAGAGUUUAAUGUUUCGUACGUUCGACUUUUAUUGUCUUUAGUUUUCAGCUAUCAAUUCUGUGACCCACUAAAUAAUUUCGACAGAAUUGAUUCCUUGUGUCUGAAGUGUGAGAAAGUACAAAGUGCAAAUUUGAUUAAUAAAGCAGGAGGAAUUCAACUUGAAAGCUAAAUGGCUCUCAUCAGUCUUUAUGCUGUACACGAACCGAGAAUGCGCACGUUCAUGACUCACAAGAUCGAUUCAUGCAAAAGUAAGAUUGAUUUCGCAACCUGCUUUCACAUGUGAAGUUGAUUUUGUUUUCUGAAGGAAGGUUGAUCAGUUCCUUUUGUUGCAGGAAAGACGUCCCUCCAGCCUGCCAAUCAAACUUUAUUAUUACUUCUUUUUUUCAAUUUAUGCUGGAAAAAAUGACCAUAAAAUAUGAAUAAAAUUGCCUUGCCUUUAAAUAUGAAUAAAAAGAUAGGGAAAAAAAUUUCUUCCAUUUAAAUGAUGUGUAAUAAGGUACGAACCCUUGUAUAAUAGUACCAUAUAUAACUCGUCAAUGCAGCAAUCCUUUGUAUCUAUACAGCCACAUUGCAAUUAUAUAUAUACAUAUAGUACCAAAGCUGCCGGCACAAAUCAUCCACAAGAAGGAUUUGUUUGGAGGUUCAUUGUCAUUGAACAAAUCAAUGUGAAUGUUUAUAGCCAAAACUGAGUCUACGAUCAUAAAACAAGUCAAUGCUACGGUUGCUGUCAUCAGCUUGAUCACCAUCUCCAUCAUGUUGUUCAGUUUGUCAUCGAGCAUAAUGUUGAUAUAGUCUUCAGUAUCAUCUACAUACUCCCUCAGCUAUCAAUCAAAAAAACAAGUAAUCAGAGAAUACUGAAUAUAUAUAUAUAUAUAUAUAUAUAUAUGCACAUACACGAAGAUGAAAUUCAUCAGCAAUUUUUGAUAGAUGGCACAUAAUUGUAGCACAUAUACGCCAUCGAACAGGGUUCGUUGUUUUACACAAAUUUUAGCCUAAUCAAACCUCAGUUUUAUGUUCGAUAUAUUUAGGAAAACCAUUGACGUGGGUAUUAUUAGUAAAGUAUAAGAGCCGAAAUAGUUGAAAUGACACAAAAUUAUUAACGACGGAAGUCCUUUUAACAUUUGAGCUACGUACAGUGGAUAAUCCGUUGAGCGUAGCGUCAAUACGAACAAAGAAUGCUUCCAGAAGCAUUUCAAGAUCCUUUACACUUUGACGCUUGCUUCUAUCACUGCGUUUGCUACUGGCAUAGGUUGCUUGGCUUUUUCUGCUAAAUACUGAACUAGCAGCGUCAACAAAUUCCUGUUCUUGAGCAUGAUUGGUAUGAAGAAGAUCAGUACCAAGUCUGGUGGAACCUUCACUGUUUUCUGUCAAGUUGUCAGCUGGCGUCCUGACAACACAAGAAUACUGAACAAAGAAUUCUAACGAUGGAAACGAAAUUAAUAAGAUCCCUUACGGACCCAAAUUCAGCAGAAAAAUUUAAAAGAACUCACUAACAAGGCUUUGAAGGCAAGUAGUCAACUAAUUUCUAGCGCUAGCAAUUGAAAAGAUUCACUUGCCUGUAUUCUACGUCUGACAGAAUUACUUCGUUAUUCUUGUCAUCUAGUUGAUCUUCGUGUGCACUAUAAUUUUGAAGCUGCUGUUGUAGUUGGUUCUCUGUCAGAUACAUCUUAGACAUGGGGUCAUCAUCAUCUAGCAAACGCUCUAAUUCAUCCUUCACCUGAAAUAAUGCUUUAGAAUCCCUUCAAAUAAAUGGAAUAUAGACAAAUAAUAACCAGAUGAUAAGCUUCAUGCUAGUAUAUAUUCCAAAGUUCUAGAGCUUAGACUAGCUGAAAAAAAAAAUACGAUCAGUCAAAGCAAGUUUCAAAUUCAAAGCAUUACUUGACUCCCAAUACUGUAAAAGUAAAUGAGGACCACCCAAGGGAGAAGUGGAGAACAAAACCAAGCAUCUAGCAGGAGUAUCAAAUAGAAAGAAGCGAUUUAGAGCACUCGACCUUUUGAACACGAUUAGUUAUCCCGAUUAAGCGGCUCUUAAAUUGGUGCACACGUUCCAUGUUGAGAGUAGAGAUGUUCGAAGUUAACUCAUCAAGUGCCGGAUAAGAUUCUUCCUCCAAUGUAACUGCCUGGCUUGAAAUGAAACAUUCAAGGAAUUAGUCAAAUUAAACUUGACAAGCGAACCAGAAAAUGGACAUCAUCCUCGAAAAAUCAAAAGCGAGUAAGUAUAUGGUUUCUUUGCCUCGUUGUCCAGCCAAGUGCAUGCCUCCUCGAGGCAAGCCUCCAAGACAACAAACUCGAGGGGAAGACGCUUCCGAUCAUCCAAAUUUUCUCCUCCAAACUCGGCCCCUACUUCCUCUGGAUCGAUGCUAUCAUGGUGGUUCAAGAUUUUUUCACAAAGCACUUCUGCAAAGGGCGCGACAGCGGGGUCCUUGGAGUUGAGCAAGAGGACUUCAUGAGCCAUAAUCACAGCCUUGAUGUUCUCCACACUGAAUAUUAUGGCUCGUUCACGGCCCGAAAUGGUGCAUGGAUACGAAAGAUCAGGGUCCAGAAUACGCAGAUCUCGGCCGGUGAUACCUGUUCGCCGCAUAAUAGCAUGCUUCCCUGCUUCCAAUAUAUGGGACUGACCGGACGAGUUGAAUAGAAGCCAUGGACGGACCCCCAACGGCUUCUUCUCAAGUGGGGAGCUAUUGUCAAUAUCAGCCAUACCAUAUAGAUCUAUCAGCACAUUAAGUGCUCUGCUGCGUUUGAGUUACUCAAUGCUGUUCACAUGCAUAUUGUGAAUCAUCAAACCACACCGGCAGAUGAACCAUACAGCAGGCUCUAAUUAGCACGUCACACCAGUAGAUGACUGAUUAACGAUACAGCAGGCUGUAAUUAACAGUGUUGAAAGCGCAAGAGAAGAGAAAAGGCCAAUCCUGUGCAGGUUGGAACCCAGGGGUAGUAGUCUGUGGUCAAAUAAUAUAGAAAUGGAAUCCCAACUGUAGCUUCUGGAAUCAUGCUUCCAGCUUCCCUUGAUUAUGAAUAGAAUUGAUCACGCUCCUCACAAGUCACAAUUGAAACCAGUUUGAGUUUAGAAUAGUCAUUUUAUAUUUUUUAUAUCACAUUCUUAUUUAUUUACACCCUGUCUAGAUUCAUUUGCCUUCGGAAUAAAACGGAGAAGAAGUACUGCUUGAUUAAUAUGCUCCGGCUGCCGGGCCGCAUGACUAUUACAGGAGUACUAAAUUGAGUACUUGGUCAACCUCGCACAUGAACUGUUACAAUUGACUUUAGGCGCGGUUGAAACCUACGGCCCCAUACCCCCGGGCCCCUUUGGAAUUUCUUUAACAAAUUUCUGCCACAUGUCCCUAUUUUUAAUUCCCAUGCUGAGAGGAGCUAGAAUCAAUGGAGCACACUCCUUUCUUGUGCAAAAUGGCACAGGAAGUGUGCAAACAUGCCCCAGUCAAAUGCGUUGGAUUAGAAGAAGCUGGGAGUAAUUUAUGGGGAUGGUAGGACAAGCUAAGAGGGGCUCUGAAGAGGAAGGAUGGAAGCAGGCAUAUUGAACUUGCGGCAAACAUCUUAUCGCAGAUAUGGGAGGCGAGAAACAGAAGACAUUUUUGAAAAGCACAACAAUAACCCAAUGAACACUGACAGCAGAUAUUGACAGAAUGGAGAGAGUAUGAAAAGACCCUAUUGAAGUCAAACUGUGUGAUCUCCGCAGAGACACAUGAAGAAGGCUAUCAGCAUUGGCAACCUCCUCAACAAGGCUUCUUGAAAAUCAUCAUAUAUAGCUACCAAGAACAAUCUGCCUUUUGGACAGACUGGAAUUGUAGCAGUGGGUAAGAAUUGGAAGGGUGAAACCAAGUGGCUUGGGCAAUGACUAAACAUAGAAUUAGGAACGAAAGAGUUAGCUACUGCUACAGCUAUCAAGUUAACUAUGGUUAAAGCUGCUGAAGAAGGAUAUCAGAAUAUCAUCCUUGAGUCAGAUUGUAAAGCAGUAAUGAACAAGUUAUCUAUCAAAAAUUGCAGGGAUGCAGCAGGUGAAACAGUGAUGGAGAAUAGCUUGGCACUAAGUCCUCAAUUUCUGCAAUGUAAGUAUUCUUAUGUAAGUAAAAAUAUUAAUGCUGCAAGUCUUCUUCUUUUUGUUUUCAACAAACGGCAUGCUACAAGUCUUCUAGUUGCUAAUUUUGCAGCACAACUUGGAAAAGAUAUCAGGUGGAAGAGUUUUGCUAAUUUUGCAACACAGGUUGGAAAAGAUAUCAGACGGAAGAAUUUCUUUCCUUUGUGGAUAUCUUAAUUAGAUGACCAACGGUUUUGUGUAAGGGCAGUUGCCACUUGAUCCAAGAACCGUUGGUCUAAAUAACCAAAUCUUUUAUUAAUUAUACUGUGAUCCUUACUACCUUGGCAUUAAUAUAUCAAUAACUAAAAUAUGUCUACAUAAAUCAAAAUUUUAUUUUAUUUUCAAAGGAAGGACUCCAUUGGAAUUGACCGACUAUUAGUGGUCAACAAUAAAAAUUAUCUCCAAGAUUUAUUUACUUCGACUUCAAAGGAAGGACUCCAUUGAUAUUUUCAUAAUUAAGAAAAAAGUACAAUCAUGAUCAUAAGAAAUCACAUAUUAUAACAAAGGGAAAUAGGAGGAUUGCGGUCUGUAACUUGAUUUUAACUUACGGACAGAUCCUGACCGUUGGAUCAUUGUGGCAUUUUGAUGGGAAAGGACAACCUAUUUGUCCGGUAAAUAUACUAAAAGAAAAGAGAAAUUUUAAGGACUUCUCUUUUUCUUUUUUUUUUGGUUCUUUCCACCAUCUUCAUUUCCUUAUUGCCUAACAGCAUCCACCAUUUAUAGUCUUUUUAUGGCUAAUGUGACUAGUCAAUUGCCUCCAAUCAAAACAUUUCUUCCUAUUUCCUUCUUUUCAACAGAAACAAACAAAAAUGUGUACAUGUGUGUGUGUGUGGAUGUAUGCAACCAAAAGGGCAAAAGAAACAAAUACAGUUCCAAUUGAAGUGAAAGUAUGGCUUCGAAAUUAUGCUGUGAAGUGUCAAGUGCAAAAAGUCUCUGUUGGGAGGAACAACGGGAAAAUAAUGCAACCAAGAAAAAAACAAUUGAUUGAAAAAGCAAAUCUAUAAGAGAGAGAGAGGCAAUAGAUGGCUCGGGGGUAAGGAAUGAGAGAGAUGGGGAGGAAGAGUAGGAGUGACUAGUUUGAAUCAUGAUUAUAGACCAUUCAAGCCGGCCUCAAGGGAUUGAGAACUUGAUAUAACGUAAAAUUAUUAGGGGAGUUGAGUGAUAUUAUCAAAAAAUUUUAGAAAAGAUUUCUAGAAUUUUUCUUUUCACUUAUGACACAGUUGACUAAUAUGAUUUUUGCGGAAUCUGAAUUAUUGCAAAUCUUUUAAAAGUUAGAGGUACUGUAGAAAUCAUAGAGAGAAAGAAAAUGCCAGAAAGAAACGUACAACAAAUUUUUCUUAAUUUGUGAGUAACCCUGAAAACAAUGCAACGAUUUGUAAUUUGUUACUUGAAAUAGACUAAUGCGGAUAGGAUAUCAUCUUUGUACAAGUGACUUAUUGUUAUUUGCAGUGUACAGUGGACACAUUUGUGGAGAAAUUAUCAUGCUGAAUAUACUUCCGGAAAAAGCUGAAAGGACUUUCUUGAUAUUAAGCCAAGAGAGGAAAAGGGAUAAGGCGUAGAUGCAAUGUUGUUGAAUCAAUUGAAGAAAAGCUAGGAUGAGAAAUUCUAUUUUUCUUAAAUUAAAGCACAAAUUUAUUUCAUCCUAAAUGUUAUAACUAAAGUUUGCUUCCUUACACCUAAACUGAAAGAGAACAUGCAGUACAAAAGAAAAGCUUAAUUAAAGUACUUUAAGCUUGCUCUUAUAAUGUGAUAUGAAGAAAAUACAAAAGAAAUUUCUUUUAUUUCUCCGCUUCUCUCUCCCCUCCUACUCUAUCUUUUGGCCCCUUGUCUUCUUCUUCUUUUUAGACCACUUCCUACUCUUAUGUUCUUGUACCAUGCACAUGUAUAGCACAGACAUCUAGUGUUAUAAACUUCUUCUACAUGCAUGAAAUGAAAUUGAAGUACUAAUCUUUUGUUAAAAAAUCAGUAGUUAAUUAAUUCUUCGACAAGUGGUGUAAACCGUUUAACAAACAAUCUAUCAGUGACUAAAGUCUAUAUUAGAAAUUUAGAACUUUAAAAAGAAUGAAAAAUAAAAAGUCCAUGUUAGAGCUUAUUCUCAUACCAUUAUCUAGAAGAAAAUUCGUUAAUUACUUGCGUGGAUUGCGAUAUUUUAUGAGGCCAUAACUCUAGCUGACUGUAUCAUCUAACCUCAACAUGAUCUGUAAUAUCUUCUAAAACAUGAUUAGUACUUACAUUAAUUAUUGGAUACACAUGUGCAACUGUGAUAAAGUGGAAGUAUAAACUAUGAAGCAGAAGAUUCAUUUUGUAUAUUGUAAACCGACAUCAAAACCUUUUAUGAACAAAUAUCUUUGAUUAGAAAAGAUUUAGCCCAAGAAACCUUCUAGCGAACUACUGCAUUUCUGCUUGUAACAGCAUAGCUUUUGCAUCUCGGGUAUGCAUAAAUGGGGGAAUCUGCUUCCUUGAAAUCACAGGGCAUGUCCUCAUCGAUCCUUCCAAUCCUUCCAAUCCCAACACUGUAACUCCUCUUCUCCGCUGCUUUAGCGGGCAGCUUCACGCUUGUAAUUGGCCUUUGCAACUGAGGAUCGAUGGUCUUGAUCCCAGCAUUGGCCUCACUCAGCUUUGUGGAUACGGCGCGAAUGAGUUCCCUGAGUUCAUCUUCCUGCUUGCUAUCCUUGGACGAGUUAACGCUGAAGUUUCGUGGUAGCUGUUGAGACACUUGAGGAGCAAUACCGCAGUUAACCACCGUGUUAUCACCAAUUCUUGCAGCACAAUCGAACAUGCUGUUCAUGUAGAAUUCUGUUAUUUUCUUCAGGACUCUGGCAGGUGCUUUUAGGAUAACCAUCAGCGUGCUUUGCUUCUUUGCUUUUGUCGUCGUCUUCAUUCUAUGAGUUGUUGAUUAAGAGGAGCUAACUGAAAAUUGGCAAGUAUUGAUGAUGAAGUUAAAAUGUUGAGUGAGGUGGGAAGGGCGGCAAAAUAUUGAAGGGGUAUAUAACAGAUGCAGAUUGCUUCGAGUGUUGAUUUCAUUUUGUAACUUGUACUGCCUUUAUGUUUGUAGCGUUAUUGACUCUUUCUAGUGUAGAACAGAUCCAAGGUCAAAUAUAUGGCUGUCCAUGCUCCAUACGCAUAAUUAACUUGAGGAGAAUUGCAAUUUUGGGCCUCUAUAUAGUGGAUAAUCACAAUUGGACCUUUUCAAACUUUAACUUUGAUAUAUUCAGACCAGACGUUAAUUAGUCUGCCAAGUUUAGGAUAUGAGAUUAUUUGAAAUAUUAUUUGGAAUAAUUACUGUAGCACUUUUUGUGAUGUGAUGUAUGUGAGAUAAAAAGAUAAUUGAAAAGAUAAAAAUGUGUGUUGGAAAUUAUAUUUGUAAUGUAAGCAAAUAAUUUUUAGCCAUUAUUUGGCUAUCCAAACACAUUACAUAUGGUUCCUCGUGUUCAGAUGAUUCUUAAAGUUGGGGGGGGGGGGGUCAUGAAUUUCUUCUUGAAUCGAAGUAUAGAAUUUUGAAAAUUUUAAAAAGCCUAAACUUGUCCACACCAGAAAUUCGAGGAGGCCAUCUAAAAGAAAUUUAGAAGUCCGGGGAUUGUGGCUUAUAUAUGUUGAAAUAGAAAUUUGAAGAAUAAAUUUGGCCGUGUAUCUUCUGUUUCACUCCCGGUGUCCCAUUUUUUAGUAUUGUUUUUCCUUGAUAAAUAUCUUAUUUUAGUUCUUUUUUGUUUUCUUAAAAUCUAAUAACUAUUAAUUGAUUAAAAAAUAAAUACAACAAUCUCAAAAAGUAAUAUAUUAUAAAAAUUAUAAAAUACAAUAGAAAAUUCAUUAAAAAAAUCUCAUUUUUAUGCAUUUUGAUUUUUUGAAUUUAUUAAAUUUUGUGAGUUGAUAGUUAUUGAAUUUUAAGAAAAUAAAGAAGAACUAAAAUUUGAUGUUUAUAAAGCAUAAAUAGCAAUAUAAUAAAAAGUGGGACAGAGAGUGACACAGAAAAUGAGACAGAAGAUCCUUCGUGAAUAAAUUUAUGGGUACGAAAAACAUAAGGAUGGAUGGUAACAUACUAACAUUGAAAAUCUUAAACAAGUCAAAGUAGGGAUUUUGUUGAAUUUAAAAAGGGUUCUAAACAAGCGCAAGAAAGAAAGCGUCAGUUUAGAUUGCGGAAUGGCUGGCCACACAGAUUUAAUUGUAGGGCGGCGCGGCCACCUUGAAUACAUCCCCGGAGUAAAUUAAACUUGGUCUGGUCGUGUCUACUAAUUAAUUGCGCGUCAUUAUUGGAAAUUGGAAUGAUUCCAAUGGACGCCCCUGAAUACUACUACGCUGGUCCUUUUCUUUGUAGAAUUUGGGAUCCUUUCUACUCCCUCCGUUCUACUUUGAUAGUACUGUUUCUUUUUUCAGACAGUUUAAGAAAAAGUGGUUAAUUUUGUUGGAAAAGUAAAAUUUAGAUUACUAUUUUCCUAAAAUACCCUCACAUUAAAUAUGGUAUAACUUUAUGAGAACUUGAAUUGAUGGUAAAAAAAGAAUCAACUCUCAUUAAACGGAGUAGGUUUAUAAUAACAACAACUUACAUUGAAUAAGGGUAUUUUAGAAAAAUUAAAAUACAACUACAUUCUUCAAUUGGAAAGUGGACUACAAUUUGGAACAGAUGAAAAAGGAAUACAGGGCUAUCAAAGUGGGACGGAGGGACUAUUUAUUAGUUUUUUUUAAAAAAAAUGUUAAGCAUACAACUUCACCAGCAAAUUUAUUGAACAUCGAAUCCGUUGGAUCCUCCCUUUGACUAAACUAAACAUCAAUUUUCUUUUCCUUGCAUGCACGAUUCACAGCCCCUUCUUUGCACGUGCUUCUCUGAAUCUUCCAUAUUUUCUGCUAUGUUUCAAUGGAAUAAUACGAAGGGUUAAUCACAUUUUAUCCCCUUAAAGAAUACCUCAUUUCUCAGUUUACCCUCUAACCUUUAAUUUUGCUCACUUAACCCCCUUUAGGACAAAAUUGCCCUUGCAUUAUUUUGACUUUUCAUUUACCUUGUUUUCCUUUCUUUUAUUUCUUUUUCUCUUUCUUCUUUAUUUAAUUCUUCCUCUUUCCCACAAAAACUUCACCUUAAUGAUUGAAAUUAAAAAAGAGGAAUUACAAAGAUCUAUCUUCUUCUUAAAUGAUCAAAAAAAUAUUCAAACCACUUUUCUAAAAUACAAUUUUUUUAGCCUUUCAAUUCUUUUAAUUUUGGGUUUUCCUCUUUCCUUUCUAGUUUCUCAUUUUAUUCUCAAGAAAAUAUCAUAAGAUGAAAUUGUUUUCCUUUCUUUUAUUUCUUUUUCUCUUUCUUCUCUCUAUCAUCCUUCCCAAUAGAAAAUUCGAUUUCCACAAAAAUUUUUGUUUUGAGUUUGCAAUCGCAUAUUUUUGGGCAAAGGUUUAAAAGACAUCAAAAACUAAUUUUGAUUUUUUGUAUGAUGCCACGUGUCACAAAUUUCAAUUGAUAAUUAUUAAUCAGGUCACAAUUUCAUCUUAAGAUAUUUUCUUGGGAAUAAAAUGAGAAACUAGAAAGGAAAGAGGAAAACCCAAAAUUAAAAGAAUUGAAAGGCUAAAAAAAAUUGUAUUUUAGGAAAGUGAUUUGAAUUUUUUUUAAUCAUUUAAGGAAAAGAUAGAUCUCUACAAUUCCUCUUUUUUAAUUUCAAUCAUUAAGGUGAAGAUUUUUAUGGGAAAGAGGAAGAAUUAAAUAAAGAAGAAAGAGAAAAAGAAAUAAAAAAAAGGAAAAUAAGGUAAAUGAAAAGUCAAAAUAAUGCAAGGGCAAUUUUGUCCUAAAGGGGGUUAAGUGAACAAAAUUAAAGGUUAGGGGGUAAACUGAGAAAUGGGGUAUUCUUUAAUGGGAUAAAAUGUGAUUAACCCUAAUAUGAAUAUCAUGACAGAUAAAUCAAGAUGUGAUCAACCGAGUUAGAAGUUCAUUAUUGCUUAAUAAUAAUUAAUUCCUUGCUGAAUUCUACAAAUACCUUUUCCCAAGGAUUUCGUGCAUUCUGCAUGUAUUUAUUGCAAUAAUAAGAUUUGGAUUGUAGAGUGUGUAAAAUUGAGAAAGCAUGAUGAGCUUUUAAAAAACAGGCUAAUGAAAAUAUAUCAAGGAUUGACUUUUUUAAAAACAAGUAUAUAAUUACAUUUUGAAUGUGUAAGUAACACCAAUUCUUAUGAUUUUUCUAUUUAAUAUCACAUAAUAAAAUUGUCAUACUUCAAUUCUUAUACUAGAAAAUGUCAAAUAAUAAUUAUUAACCAUAUUUAAUUACAGGCACUAAACUCCUGCGCGUUGCGCGGGCUUUUCCCCCUAGUAUAUAUAUAUAUAUAAUAGAUUAGAUGAUUUUAAAUGUAGCGAAUACUCGGUAGGCACUUGUUUUAAAAAUCUUGUGUUAGUAGUAUGAAUGGAUCUAUCAUAUAAAUCCAAAACGGUUUCUCUUGUAAAAAAAAAAAAAACGCUUCUAAAUAUACCUGGAAAAUUCAUAUAAAAGGUCUCUCUUGUCCGUUGAUGAUGUUGAACUGGUCUCGGUAGAGAAAUUAGGUUCUCAAUGUUGUCCGUAAGUUCAUGAAAAAUGUUCUCCAACUUCCUGGAAUCAGUUAAAGAGUGGUUAUAAAUAGUACGUUUCUUUCUUUUUUUUUUUGGUUUGAAUUUAAGAAGAAAAUAAUAGAGGAAAUGGACAAAGAUUUCAAACUUGAAAGGAUGAGAUAAUUUGGAAGUAGGUAAAAAUUAUUGCAGAUAGAAUGAUUGGAGAGUGUUUGGAGGGACGUGACGUUGUUAAUGUGAAUCAACUAAAUGGGCCGAACCAACCUAAACUAUGUAUGGCCCAAAAAUACUACUGUUUAAUUAAGUCUUUCUUACCAAUAAUAAUAAUAAUAAAUGCUGUUUAAUUAAGUCUAUUAUACAUAGGAAAGAGAAAAAGUUUGAUUAAAACAAUUACUCUCUCUCUCUCUCUCACACACACACACACAUAUAUUGUAAAUGGGCUGUGUCAAACAUGGUAGUCUAUUGGGCCAACCUCGUGUAAGGAACUCACCCUCGUAUAUUGCUAUUGUUAGGCGAGAAUUUUCUAUGCAAAGAAAAGGAAGAAAAAAAUAAGAGAGACUGAGUGAUCAUUUGUUCUGUACAUCGUGUCAUUUCAUUUUCAGCCCGAAAACGAAACUGCAAGGUAUAAUUUGCAGAAGCCCUUGAUCCAUUUCGGAUUUAAGUUCCCGGUAAUCACAAUCUUGAUCACAAAGAACAGUUCAGGCUGAGAGAUUGAUGUAUUCGAAUUUGCCUGAUGGAGUUUGAAAUUUGGAUAUAGAUUAUAAUAAAUAAAAUAAAAAAGUUAUUGCGUUUUCACAUGUAAAUAUCUUAAUGUCUACAUUUGUUGAAUUAGUGCCUACAUCGCAUGAUGCGGUUUUCACUGUUAAUUAUGGAAGUCCUUGAUCUAUUUCGGAUCCAAGUUCUCUGUCAUAGCAGUCUUGAUCGCAGAGAAGAAUUCAGGUCGAGAGAUUGACGUAUUUGAAUUUGGAUGAUCGGGAUUAAAUUUUGGGCACAAAGUUUAGUAAAUAAAAAAGUCAUUAUUGUGUUUUACAUGAUGUUGUUUUAAUACUCUUAUUUUAGCGUUUGUUUUUGUUGAGUCAAUGUUUGCACUGGCGCAGUUCGCAUUGGUAGUUGUAAAAAACCUUUGAUUCAAAGAUUCCUUGUGGAGAACGAAAGUUUCAGAAGUAUAUAGAGUUUGAAUUUUUAUUUUUUUUUUUUGGUUUUGUGAGAGUAGUUUGAAGUUCAAACUUUGAACAGGAUCAAUAUUUUCAAACUCAUUAUUGUCAAGUAAACAAAAUUUUUUGUCUUGACAAAAAAAUGCAAAAUCCAGAGGUAAGAAUUGUUUUAGCCUUACAAAUCAGUCUGUCGGAAUAUAUGCAAUAAAGGAACAUUAAUGCCCUUUAAUUUCACCAACUGCCGAAAACAGCGUUAUUAUUUUAUUACAGGCAUGGCGGGGUACAACAAUAAAAGCCUGCCCUGUUUGGAUUGUCAUUUUUUGUUGAAAAAUUGCGUCGUUUUUCGUAAUCACAUUUUUUUAUUAUUUUUUUUCUCACAUACAUCAAAUCGUUACAGUAAUUUUUCCAUGAAAAAUCAUAGAAAAUGCAAUCCAAACGGGGUCCAAAAAGUCCAAGUUCCUUGUUUCAGCUCAAUUAUCUGUUUUUUUUUUUUUUUUGGUCAAAGGUCAACUUCUAUAUAUGCUUCAGCUCAAUUAUCACUCACUUGAAAUCAAGAUUCCGGUCUCACUCUGCCGCUCAAAUAUUACUAGUCAAAUGUUUUUUUUUUCCUGUAGAGAAAGAAUUUAAGUCCAGGACUAUACGUGCUUUUUUGAAGGGGUACCAUAUGUGUUAAUGGCAUAAAUUCCGAAAUCAUUUAUUUUUGUCAUCUUCAUCCAAGUUGGGGAGGUUUGAGGUUUUGGGUGUAUUGCUUCCGUUUGUUUAAUGUUUUAGAUUAAAGGACAGAAACGAUCGCCAGAAAAUGUAAGAAGUAUUUAAUUAGUUGUUAGAUUAAAUUCAUAAUUUACCUUCAUUCAUCUUCCAACAACAGCUUAUUUAGCCCUGAGUUCAAUUUUCUCGAUUUUUUUUUUAAAAAAAAUUUUGUUACAAAAGAGAGAGACUUAUCCAUUCCUUACACUUGAGAUGACAAGUUCUCUAUUUUUCCUCUAAAAGGAGGAGGACUUAUCACUUUAAUUAUUUUAAUUUAGGUGUGGCCACGGUUCAAAUUUAAAUCAGAAUUAGACUGGAAUCAAGCUGGCAGUUUGUUAAACCCAAAUUGAAAUCAGAUUUUGAAACCAUAAUCAUGAUUAAAGGUUCAUAUUCAUAUUCUCCAAAAUUUUGAACUAAAAUCGUCUAAAAAAACACUUAUUACAUAAAUCUAUAUAAGCAAUUUAGAGUUUAAUAUCAAUAGUCGGUGCACAACACUAACAGUCUCAGUUCUAAUCCAACAAUCCAACAAUCCAUUAUCUCAUCUCAUUAGUAAGUCUAGGCACAUAACUAAUCUAAAUCCGAGACCAAUCCAAUUUGAUCAAUUGUGAGGUAUAUUUUCAUCAUUUUUUCUUUUUCCUUCGUAUGAUAAUGCAAAAAGUUUUUUUUUUUUUUUUGUUUUUUCCAUUCAUCGUCAUUUUUUCUUAGAAUCAAUUUUAUAACAAUUAAUAAUUGUUUAUACAUAACUAAAAUCAUUGGAAGUGAAACCAGAAGCAACCAAAAUAAAAUCGAACAAGAGCCAAAGGUUGAUAUAAUUCAGAAAACACCAAUUUUUUUUAGAAACUUUGUAACUAUAAAAGCCGAUUCAGGCUCCGCCUUUUAAAAGAAAGGAAAAUGUCGAUUUUUAAAUCCAAACCAACAAUUUUGAAAUUGCGACCAUAUAUACUUUAACUUAUCCAUUCCAUUGCAUUUUUAGCCGAAACUAUUUUUUAACUUAUCCAUAUCCAGUUUCUUUAUUUUUUUUUGACCAAAUUCCAAUUACUUUUUUGGAAAUGAAAAUAAAUUCACCCUAACUCGAGAAAAUUAUAUAUAUACUCCAAAAUUUCAUAACCUUUACGAUCAACUAAUUAUCCGUUCCCCAACACGCGCACACACGUAUACGUUUAAAAGUCCAUAGCUUUCCUAACAAAGACGGGAUUUAAUGCAUCCCAUCAGAUUCAAACCGAGACAAUAAUGUGCCUCAAUUAAGUGCUAAUAUGGAGCAUAUCGAUUGACUUUUGGUGAUCCUAAUCAGCAGCAUCGCACAGCAACUGGGUUGUAAUCACCUUUUUAGCCAUGAUAAAUCAAUUACAGAUUCAGAAUUUGACUAAACUCGAGAUUCACAAUUAAGGUGUAACCGCCCAUUCGAAAAAAAAAAAAUAUUAUGUAUGGAGAAAGACAAAUUCGGAAGUUUCAGACUGUAUGGAUUAUGGUAUGUGUUGAUGAUACAGAGAAUUACUAAAAGGGAAAUCAAGAAAAGCUGCAGAAAAAUUAGAGUGAUAUGCAUCGAAAAGACGAAAAUCAAGAAACGCUACGCUUUCCGGGGCGAUCGGCACCCUUGAGAGUCUUGUCGAUGAGUUGGCGAGCUUUUCUACUGCGGAUCUCCACUUUAACACUUGCACUCUUGUCCAUCUUUACGUAUGGCUUCUUUUUCUUCUUCAAAUUCAGUGCUUUCACCUUGGACUUUAUGGACUCCACCAAGUGCUCCAAUUGGUUAGCCAUUUCUGCACCUUAAACUACUAAAAGAAAGAAAGACCCUCUCUGUCUCUGUCUAUUCUUUUUUUUUUUUUUUUUACCUUACUGCUGCUGCUACUACUGCUACUGCUAGAGCUAUUGCAUUCUUGGUUUAUUGAUGAAGGAAAGGGAUGGGAUCAAUUUCGUUGUCACAUAGGAUUGAUCACUACAACGAGGCUGUUGCUGCGAUUGAUGUUCAAGUUGAUGAUCUUUUGCGUAUUUCAAGGAAAUAAAAAUGGCCCAAGAUUGAUUGUGAGAGAGAGAGGGGCUGGUGGGAUGGGAGAAUGGGAGAGAGCAGCAAAAUUUGUUUUAGUUGGAUUGGAAGACCAUUAGUAAGAAGGCGUCAGCUAUUUAUUAUGGUUCCGUCUCUGGCUGCUCCGCUUCUGGUGCCGUGCGAGGUUUUGGGUUCACAUUUACCGGGGGGCGUUCAAGAAAUUAGUUUGAGCGUGCUAAUUUUCAAAGAAACGCGAUUAUUCACGGGAGUUUUUUUUUUUCUGAUAAAACACAAAGCCAAUAUAUGAGUAAUUUAUUUAAUCUAUGAGUUUUUAGACGGGUGCCAAAAUACACCUUACAGAGUGAUGGCUCUCCAAAAGAAGUAAAAAAAAAAAAAAAAAUUGUAAAAAAAUGAGACCAAGACCAACAUUGAGGAUCGCACAACUAAGUCAAAACGCCUGCAAUUUUACCAUCCAUGCUAUGGCCAAGUUUGAUAAUUUUCGAUUUUCAUUCAUUUGUUUCCUUACAUGGAGGCGAGACAAGGUCCAUCAAACCCAGUUACUGCGAACAUUUUCAGCCACAAAACAUAUAAAUUUGUUCAAGCAUUUAGUCAGGUUUUCUCACUCAAAACCUGUUCAAGCUUUGAGCCCACAAACAGUCGAGAUAUGGGUCAUACUCAUACCGCCUUUAAUGUUGACUCCAAUAUAACCAUUUCUGUUAACAUAUGCAGUCAUCAUCAAAAUUUUCACUAAAAACUUUCAGAAACAUUUUAACCAUUUUUUUUUUAUUAGGACCAAAGGAUUUGAAUUACGUCUAUUGAAUGCAAAGCUUCAGCACAUAUCAGCCGUUACCGAUGAGUCAGCUCGUCGUACCUUCAAAACUCGGGAUGUUACUGUGAAUCUUUCAAAAUUUGACACUAGAAUUAAAUCUCUUGCCCCGACGAUAAGAAAAGGAAAAUGCGUCCAUUUUAUGUUUCAUCAUAAGUUGACAAACAAUUGGAUAUUAACACCUGGGAAGAUUCAAUGGCGCACUAAACAUUUGCCGACUUAUUCUGUGAGCAGCUUCAAAGUCGAAGCGAACAUAACUACAGCAAAACGAAAUAAGUGAAUCUCUAUACUACUUGUGUAUCCUUGGAGGCGGGAUACACGGACGAAGAGAGAUUAAUUUGAUAAAAUUGAGAUACUUCCGGUAUUUGAAGGAAAAAAAAAAAUGAAUCCGCCCCGGUUAAGCUUGUUCUUCUUAUUCCACUUGCAAUAUAGUGUGUGAUUUACGAAACCUGCCAACAACACAGUGAGUGUGUUUGAAUUGAGAUGAUUUGAGAUAAAAUAAUUUAUUUCACAAAUUCUAAUAAUUUUUUUAUCUUCACAGUUACUUUUUUUAUCUCGCAUACAUCACAUCACAAAAAGUACUACAGUAAUUAUCUCAAAUAAACUUCUAUCCAAACAAACUCAGUAUCUUUAUCAACAUUGACCUCUAUCCUUCUCUUUUUGCGUAUACAGGAUUAAACCAAGCGAUAUAUCUGUAACACGGGGCCUAAAUAUCGAAAGCAUUCAAUAAUAUUCCGGAAAAAAAAGGGAAAACAACAAGAAACAGACAAAAUAUGCUACAUCCGUAUAGCAACUUCUGACAUUGAGGCUCUGGUCGGCCUUGGCCUAUUAAGAGAGGCACCCAAAAUAGCAACUAGUCAAAAAUCAUACUGUAACUAGUCUUCCUUUUAUGCUUUACGGAUACGUAAAUUUCACUUUCCAAUGUAAUUCGUACAAGCACUAAGCAGGAUCGGAGCACAAAUAGGGAAUAAGCGUGAAUUUUACAGGGCAGGUAAAGAACCACCCAGGGCCAGGAAGGGUGGAUUACUGGAAAGAUACCGAUUUCAAGAACCACCCUGGGGUUUGUUUGGAUUGGAUUUUAUUUUUUCAAAUUUAUUUGCUUACAUCAUCAUUACAAUUUCUAAUACACCUUUUUACCUUCCCAAUUACCUUUUUAUCUCACAUAUAUCACAUCACAAAAAGUGUUACGGUAAAAAUAUCUCUAAUAAUUCACAAUCCAAACAGACACCCAGAAUCGGAUUGUUGUGUAGGCUUUGUAGACAUACAAAACUUUUAAGCCAGAUGCGAGGAAAGUCAGCCAGCCUAACACGACCAUUUACAAAACCAUGGGACAUCCUAGACAGACUGGCUCAUCAUGUCCUUUAUCACACGUACCAAGGAGGCCAUGACGACCUUAAAUCUUGCACUAAGAAGACACUCCCUUUUUCAUAUGGAACUUGAUUUUAUGUCAUUAAGACGUGCCUUUACCAAAUCAUGGGGAGGCCGCGGAUACGGCAUACUAAAUAACUAUGGAAAGUGAUGAUGAAUUCCCAUAAAGUCAAGAGUUACUCCAACCAACAGGUUUUUAUCCAAGCACAAUAAAAACGCUUAAAAAAUUAAAAGGAAAGAAACCUUUGAGCAAAAGCAACACGAUUUCUUUUUGCAAGGCCGAGAUGGCAAAGUUCUCCACGCUUAACCAUUAUAAAUAAGACGUACAAUUGCUGCAUGUAAACAGAAAUAUAUUAUUGUAGCCUACGGGAACAAGAGGUCAGACAGAGUUCAACAAAAUCGCAAUACAUACAUGCAUACAUACAAUAUGUCCACAUACCCACGCAUACAUAUUCUAUGGAUGUGUUAAGACAAGCCAAACCUGCCUCAGAUGCAGCAACACGAGAAACACCUCCGUUGACUUUACUGUUGCUAAUAUGACCAUUGGUUAGAUAGUCUGUAACUUAUUUUGAACCGUUAACCUAAGAAAUUACUCACAAAAUUCAAUUGACCGAGGUACCAAAAAAGCUAGAGUGAACAAUCCCCAUAGACUUGCUUAAUCGAAUCUUGUUUGAUUUACCAAAAAGAUCACAGCAACAAGGGAAGAAUUGCUUAAAAAUCAAUGGGCAGACUCUUAGAGAUUUUUUUUUUUUUGAGUUGGGGGGAGAGGGGUGGUUAGGUUUAAAAAUGCUUCUAAAUUUAGAUUGAAAGAGAUUUAGUGCUUCUGUUGCUCUACUGAAGAUCAUCCAGACGAUACACCAUUUCCUAGACCUACUGGAAGUCUGGAACAAACUGUAAAUGAGAAAUGUAAAAUCAAAAUCAAACACUCCAGUGAUCAGUCAAGAUUGCAGAUGAAAAGAGAAGUGUUUACCUAAAAAGCAACCAAAUGAAACGCUGAAGGAAACGGUACUCAGCUCAAAAGAAAGAACAAAAAUACUAGGAGGGGGGAGGGGGGGGGGACGCGGGGAACUCUUGCCUGAAAAUCUAGCUGAUUAUUUUAAUUUUCCGGAGAGGUCGACCAUAACAUUAAAGUUGACAAAAAAGCAAUAGUAGCAGUUUCAACACGUAGGCGAUGUGGACCAAGACCAACUGCAGUCGCACCAGCCUCGACAAUCAUUCUCAACUCUGUCUCAGUGAAGUCUGAAAUGGAGUAAGGUCAACAACAAAUGAGAUAUCCAGGAUGUUCAUCCUGAAGAAAGUACAACCAACAAUAACUGAAAUUCUUGAAACUAGGUAAUUUUCAAGCACACGAAAGAAGCAACGCAUCAAAUUGAUAAAGCUAAGACUAUUAAACUAAUGACAGGUCACUGAAUGGCCUUCUCAUAUGAACUUAAACACAAAAGCUUAGUGCCAAUUCCAUAUAUCUGAAUGGAUAAAAAUGACAAUCAUCAUGCAUGUAUGCACUAUUCAGCAAGAUAAUAAAACUAAUUCCACCACUGCUGUACUAGAUUAUGUCCCAUUACAUUACAAAGACUAUUGCUUCUUGUCAAAAGCAAAGAAGUGUAGGAAAACGAACACAAAGACCCAAAGUGAUGGCUAUCCCAGAGAUCCAUUCGCAGUUUAUGUUAUCUAAAGUGAUUGCUGUCCUAGUGAUCCACUUGCAGUUUAUAUUAUCUGAACAAGUAAAUGUUAACCAAUGCUACACCACAAGUAUCUGCCAUAAUAACUAGAUUGUGGACAGGAUACAGUUUUAGAAUCUAAUGCAAACACAUUUCAACAUUCCUAAUAAAUAUGUAAAAAACUAAACAAACAAGUUCAACUCCUGAUUACUGCAGUGUUUUCAACACUGGUGAAACUUUCACUCAUCACUUUGGCGUCAGAUAGGAAGACUAUCUAAAAUGUCUAAGUGAGCAAGGUUAUGUAAAAGAGUUGUUACAUAACACCGCCACUUUGCCAGUUUGGGGGGAUGGGGUUGGAGAUAAAACUAAAUUUUCUCAAAAAAACUUUCCCUGAGAGAGGGAGAGAGGCAUGUAAAGAGCACUGACCUCCUUCAGGUCCAAUUAUCAUUAGCCCAGUUGACUCUUUUCUUAAGGUACUCAAAGCACCAAAAACAGGAGUAGCCUCCGCAACAGCUACGAAUGAUAGUUUUGAUUGACGAACCUAAAGCAUGGUUUAAGAUAAGAUGUAAGUUCAGAAAGACCAUACUUACAAGGCUUAUGUGUCAAAAUUUGAGAGAUAAUAACAUCAUAACCAAAGCAUAGAUAAGUAUGGUUUAAAAGGAACAGAAAAAUUUGACUUACAAGGGGCAAAACUCCACCAAUCUUCACAGGAGAGUUCAAAGUCAUUUCAUGCAGCCUUUGACCUAUUUACCAGAGCACCAUUUUGGGAAAAACAAAAAUAUCAUGACAAAGAGACUGAUGAUAAUACUUCACACAAAUUAAGUUAAUGCCAUCUUAAGUUAGCCAACUACAUUCAAAGCGCAUGGUUAAACUACAAUGGUGGUACCAAAAAGGUUAUGGUGAAACGUCAAUUACAUUGUUUCGAUGCAGCAAGAAUAACACGUUCUAAUCUGUCAAAUCGGUUAUCUGAAAUGGAUGGAGAACGCUCAGUCAACAAAGGCGUCACACUGCUAGCUCCCAGUUCCUGAGACAUGACAAAGGAGAAUAAGCAUGUAAUUUUAAGCAACUUAAAUUGAUAGAGAGAUAUUACCCACAUGACUGAUCAUUGAUCUAGACAUACUGUGCAUUUCUCUACAAGCCAAUCAGCUCGACCUCCCUUUAAAGUUCCUAAAAUCCAAAGAAAGAUUAAAGCAAGUCACUUGACAUUAUGGCAGGAAUGAUUUCUCAUAGACACAGGUGCUUUAGGUGUUCUUAAGGACCCACCAAAAGCAGCAAAGACAUGCCAUUGUGGGGCCAGAGGAGAUACUAACUUUGCCUUCUCCGCUGCCACAAAAUCAACUCCUGUGCGAUCAAUAUUCUGUAUGUGUCCUUCAACAAGACCCCCUUUGCCAUCAAAGAGCUCUAUCCUUGAAAAUGAAUGAAAGGAAACCAGCAAUAUAUACAACAGGUCAGCCAACUUGCAAGAAAAAUAAUGAUCAAUUUAACUGUGAGCAUCACAAAAGCCACAGAGUAAGGUUUAACACUUCAACCGAUCGGCUUUGCUUAAAAUUCUAGAAAUAUUCCAGGCAAGGCUUAAACUCUAAUAUUUCUCCACAUAGUUAUGUUCCUACCAAUAAUAUUCAACUUUUCAACUCCUUCAGUCAAAUGAAAUUCUUAAACUGAUAAUAAGCAUACUCAAGAGGAAAACACAUUAUUGAUGUAAGACUUGCAAUUGGAUAAUGCAAACGAGGGAGCAAAGAAAUGUGGAAGAAAAGAUGAAACUUCAUGAGCUAUACAAGAUAAAAUGUAAGAAUAGCUAAAAUCCUGCAUCAUUAACAUGUUUCCUACUGGGUAUUUCUCAAAACUCAAUAAGAAUAAUGAUACAUACAACUUUUGGUACAUUUUUCUGCAACGGUUAAAUUGGAAAUGGAAGAAGCUGAAAUGAAAACAUCCUCGAGAUCAAAACCUCAAAGAAAGUAUAAAGCAAACCACGACUUUGUUGUACGAAUAACAGGGUAUCCAAUUACGCUUGGAAGAGUCAAGUAAAUAAAGCAGCUGACAUGAAACACAUUCGGCAUGUGGAAGUAAAUGCUAAACUCAAAAAAUUCACUCUCGUGAAGCAAAGAUUGAAUUCACGUAAGCACAAAGUUGACCAAGUAUUAGGCUGGUACGGAGAAUACCUGUCGUUGAUGUUUAAUCGGAGGACUUUUGUCAUAUGCCAGAACUCGUCGCCUUGAACACGGACAAUUCCACCCCUGGAAGCGGGGAGGGUUUCGGAGUAGAACCGGGGGAGACGGCCGCGAGACUGACUGGUGUAAUCGGAAGAAGAUGAAGAAGAGAAAGCUCGGGGUCGGAGAGAAAAGGUGAUUGCCUUUUGCCGGGAAGAUGGAGAUAGCUUCGCUAGUAGGUUUACCAGACAAGGUCUCCAAACUAGGGUUUGCAUUUAGGAAUUUGUCGGGAAUAUUAAACACACAGUUGCUUUAAUACGUCCGACGUUCUGGACUGUGAUUUUUGUGAGCUUGAUGAUGAUGACAAGAGCAAAUAAAUAAAUAUACUAGUACAGUAGGAGUAUAAAUUCGCCCAACAUUCGACUAUACCAUAGUUAAAUUUUACUGCUUAGGCUCAUAGGAUUUUAUGAUGGCUAUUAGUAGUAUCUCAACCACAGCAAAACAGAGUAUGGAUGUAGCGGAGCUACAAUUUUCUAGAUAUCAAAUUUGAAGUUUAAAAAGUCGGAAUUUGUAAAAUUUACAAACAUUUGUAAGAGUAGCGUAAAUUUUGCCAGAGCUUAGUUUGUUUGGACAAGAAAUCACAGCUUCGAAGACGAUCUAAAUCUGGAUUUCAUGGUCGGAUAUUAACAGACCAGACUAAUUACAUGGUACUACCUCAAAUUCAUUCCAUGGAUAAUUUUUUACAUUCAUUUGGUUGCCUAAACAGGAAAUUGCAUUUUAUGUCCAGAACUAGCAUGUCUGCCUAAUAAAAGAACAACCUCGUUCUGCUACUACAGCCGGUCGGUCAGUUCCGCAGGGUCGCAGCCAUUGUCAAAAGUCAGGAACACAAAAGGGACUUCCCAGUCUUCCCCAAAAUAUCAAAAUACACCUUUGCGACCUUAUCACAAACACCUAAUGGGACUUCCCAGCUUUCCACAAAAAUUCUUGUACAUCCCUUUGAGACGUUAUCACAAGCGCCUCGAAGACCAAACUAGCAGGACCCUUCAGGAUUUUCAUCAGCUCUACCAUCACCUUCAAACCCGCCACCCAUCUCACACACCCUCUCCCACAUGCUCUUCUCCACAGGCACCACCGACAACCUCGGCUGCCUGAACAGGCCACAUCCUUGCAGUCCACUCUCUUUCUUCAUUUCCCCCAAGUCCACCGGCCUCCGCAUUUCGCCAACCGCCUUCACAUCCACCGCACUAUCACCGCUAUCAUCAGCGUACCAUUCACGGACAACAGAGACCACACCCACCACGCGGCGGGCUUUGGAGCCGGAAUGGUAGAAAAAGCAGAGAUCUCCAGUUCUCAUGGACUUCAUAUUCUUCUGGGCUUGCUUGUUCUUGACGCCGUCCCAUUUGGAUACACCACCAUUGGCUGCUUGGUCCUCCCAUGACCACUCCCCUGGCUCCGUUUUUAGCAGCCAGUAUUGUUUUUCUUUACCCAUUUCUGUGCUGUGAAAACUUUGUAGAAUUUGAAUUUCUCAGGAUAGGGGCUGGGAAUUUUCAGGGUUGGAUUCAGGAAAAGGGUGAUUGGACCUAAAGCACUAGCUUUACUACUGGUAUUUGUUAUGGCGGGAAAUCGGCGACGGCCCCGCAUUUUGAUUGAUUGAUUGAUUCCUUCCGCUUCUUAAUUUUAAUACUCCCUGUUCACUUUGAGAGUCCUAUUCCUUUUUCUACACAAUUUAAGAAAAAAUCGUUAAAUUUGUUGAAAAAGUAAAUUUAAAUUACUAUUUUUCUAAAAUACCCUCACAUUAAAUAUGGUACAACUUUAUGGGAAUUUGAAUUGAUGGUAAAAAAAGAAUCAACUCUCAUUAAAUGGGAUAAGUUUAUAGUAACAACUACUUACAUCGAAUAAGGGUAUUUUAGGAAAAUUAAAAUACAACUACAUUCUUCAAUUGGAAAGUGGACUACAAUUUGGGACAGAUGAAAAAGGAAUACAGGACUAUCAAAGUGGGACGGAGAGAGUAGAUAAUAUAUAUAAUUGGUUGAAAUCGAUUAAGUUCUAAGCUUAGUUACCAAAAUUUGAUGAUAAUUAGAUUGAUUAGAUAUUUCAUACUUUAGUGCUGUAAAUCCAGAAAAUAUUUAAAUAAAGGAUUAAUCACACUUUGCUCCUCUGAACUUUGGGUGUAGUUACACUUUACUACCCUCAACUUUUAAAAUAUACACUUUACCCCAUAAAAAACUAGUCAAAGUUAGGAAUGCCAAAAAAAAGUGAGUGCAAAUUAUUGUCCUUUUAUUUUUGAGAUUAUAACUCAUUUUAUUGCUAAAAGAUAUACAUCUUCUCUGUAAUAUCUACUGUACAAAAAAAAAUAUCAAACUAAUAAAGCUAAAAAAAAGGUUUACAUUUAGUUUAUUAUUCUUAAUAUUUUUCCUAUUGGAUACUUUAAAUAUAACAAGGAUUAGGGGUGCAAACGAAUCGAAUCGAGCCGAACUUUGGCCUAGUCAAGUCGAGCCUCCAGUUAAUUUUGUGAAGUUCGAACUCGAGCUCAAAAUGUCAAGCUCGAGCUCGAGCUUGACUCAAAUUCGAGUCGAGCUCGAGCUUAAAAAAUAAAAAUAAUAAAAAUAAUUUUUUUUAAAAAAAAUAAAAAAUAAUUAUUUAUUUUUAACAAUGAAUAAAAUAAUAAUUUUUUAAUAAAUAAUAAAAUAUUAGGGAUAUAUGUGUAAUUUUACUAUUAAAAUAAAAAAAUAUAUAUAAUUGAACUCGCGAACCGCUUGCGAGCCAACGAGCUUAAUGUUUUUGAGCUCGAACUCGAGUUCGAAUUCGACUUAAUUAUCUCGAGCUCGAUAUUGACCGAGCUCGUACUCGAGCCGCUCGCGAUCGACUCGCAAGCGGGUCGAUUCGUGAACACCCCUAACAAGGAUAAAUAACUCAAUGAAAACAAUAAAUACAUUUAGCAAAAUUUUGGAAAAAAGGGUACUGUUAAACUUGUUAUUUUAUUAAUUUUUUAUUAUUUUAGCUUAUGUAAACUGUUACAAUAAUGUUAUCAUCAUUUAUUUUUUUAAACUAGUCGAAAAUUAAAUACUUAACCCAAUUAGUUAAAAAGGGCUGAUAUGCCUUAUUUUUAAAUUUAGAGGAGGCAAAAUAUAUAUUAAUGUUAUGCGUUCUCCUUUGGCUACUGUAUUUAUAAUUGCUUAGGAUAUUAUCAUGAACUCAGAGAUGUCUCAUUUGAGGCUGUCAUGCCUCAACCAAUUAUAGGAUGACAUCUGCACACGAUGAUUUGUCUACUAGGCAGAUUCUAGUUGUGGUUCAAAUACAUGGAAUAAUUCCCACCUCGUGUAGAAAAAUCGCAAAUAUAUCAAAAAAAUGAAGUGAAAACUGUGGUAUUUUCUCGUAUGCUAGGAGAGCAGGCAUCACACUCAUUGCAGAGAGUGCAAUCAGAGAUUCAGAAGUGUGAGGGGGGGAGGUUCUAAAUUUCUACUAGGGGUGGCAAUUUUCGACACGACACGAACCUAACACGAAAUUAAUGGAUUUGGGUUGAGGUUUCGGGAAUUCGGGUCAGAAUCGGGUUGGACCCGAUGAACCCGAAAAGAAAACAGGUCAAUUUCGGGUCAACCCGUGGUGACCUGAUAUGACCCGAUAUGACCCGUUUACGAAUUAAAAAUAAUUUAAUAAACAUAAAAAUAAUUUUAUCUAACUAAACUAAGUUAUUCUUUUUUUCAAAGGCAUUAAUUACUUAAUUCUAAAUGAAUUUAUUUAAUUUGUGUGAAGUUGAAAUUAUUAUAUUUGGACAAAUAAUAUAUUAUAUUAUUUUUUACUUUUAUACUGUUUUAAUUUAUUUUAUAUUUUGUUUGAGAUAAAACACUUUUACGGUGUUUAAUUUAUUUUAGAUUUGGUUUGGAAUUAUUUAUUUAAAUUUUUAUUACUUGAUUAUGUAAUUAGUUUUGUGAGAAAUUGAUUUUAUUAGAAAUUACAGUGAUAAAUUAAUAAAUUAAAAUUAAGUUUCGGGUCAUUUCGGGUCGACCCGCCAACCCGCCAACCUGAAAUUUUCGGGUUCGGGUCAGCAUACCUGACCCGUCACGGGUUGGCGGGUCGGGUUCGGGUCAACAGAUUUUCUGACGGGUUGACCCGAACCCGACCCGCCAACCUGAUUUAGACCCGAAUUGCCACCCCUAAUUUCUACUAGGAACUAAAUAUGAGGCCAAGAUCUUUUCUUUUCUAAUGGUCAUAAUUUUUAGGUCAGGAUUUGGCGUGACUCAGAUAUGCAGGUUAACCGUACAAGAUUAGAUGGCUGGCAAGGUCAAGUUGCCAUUACCUCACCAAUUUGAGCCAAGUAGACGAGUUGGAGCCCAUCUUCUUGCUACGGAUUUUUUUGAGAAAAAUGCAGUUUUGGUACCUAAACUAUGACGCAGGAGCGGUUUUAGUCCCCAAAUUUUGGACGAAAGCAAAUGUGGUACCCAAUCUUUCAAAUUUUGAGCACAUUAAGUACCUUUGACGAUUUUUUCUCAAAUUGCCAUUGGAAAAAGUCAUGUGACAGUCACAUGUCCGGCCACCAUUGUAUGAAAAAUAGCCAAAAAAAUGUCAAAUGCCAUUCUAAUACUAAAUAUUAAAUUUAAGGACUAAUAACGUAAUAAACAAAAAAUCCAAGGACCCAAGGACUAAAUAACAUCAUGAGUCAAUUAAAAAAUAAAAGAAGAAGACAACAUCACAUAGUGUCUGUUUCGUUCCUCUUGCUUCACUCUCAAAUAGAAAACCCAAUUACCAUCCGGGUUACUUUGGGAAAGUUGGUAUGAGGUACUUCCACAAGCUCUGUAACAAAUUCCAUUGCCUCAUUGUCAACAUCGAAAAGCUCUGGUCUUUGGUUCCUCAAGAAGCUAAGGACAAAACUACCAAGGACAACGCCCCUUUGAUUGAUAUCACCCAGUUCGGAUAUUUUAAGGUUAUGGGUAAGGGAGUUUUGCCUGAAAAUCAACCUGUUGUUGUUAAGGUCAAGCUGGUUUCCAAGACUGUUGAGAAGAAGAUUAAGGAAGCUGGUGGGGCUGUUGUUCUCACUGCUUAGGUUGUUUUGUUUCUUGGAUUUACUAAGUCUGAGGUUCUAUUAGUAGUAUUAUAAUUUGGCACUUUUUUGGAUUUACCCCUUUAAUUUUGUUGUUAUGAAAUGAAUGUUAUUGGACCAUUUUUAUGGAUGUUUUUAAUGUUAUUCAGCAGAUUAAUUUCUGCAUUAUGAAUGGAAAAAAAAGAAUUCUUUGGGAUUGAUGUACUGGAAUUGGAGCUCAUUUGUGACUUGAUUAUGUACUGGAAUUAGUCAAGUACAAGCCUUGUUCAAGCAUGGAUAUUACGUGAUUAUGCUAAACAAAAGACCAUGCCCUGUUUUAACAUGGUUUUAUACUAAGAGAAAACGCCGAACCCACUAGUUUUCCAGUGCACAGAAAAUGGCUGCCUGCUUUAAUUGUUUCGUGAGAUGAAGUUAUGUAAGCGUUGCUUCCAUCUGAACUUCUAACCAACUGAACAGAUUGCUGCAAUUUCACUUCUACAUUUUUGUUUUUCAACCAGCCUAAAGUCUUGUUGGAAGCUUUGGGUCCAAUAAACUCUAGCAACCUAGGUCUAUCAUGCACCAAAACAACCUUCUUUUCUGGAAAAUCAACAGCAAUUUUUGCAGCAAGUUCAACUCCAGUGAACUAAAAUCUUACAAACAAUUGCAGAGUCAAAACCACUACAAAAUAUAUGUCCAAUCCAACUGGUUAAUCCAACAAAAGAUGACUUUCCAGUAACACGGUGAUGUUCCAUAAGGUACCAAAUAUGAUGCAGUUGUACAAAAGCAUUGUUACAAGGGAUAAUGUUCAUUAAGGUAGAUUCACUUCACGCAGCCUCAAUUUCAUUAGCCAUUGGAAGAUCCCCCAGCAGAUUGACCACCAGUAAUAUUUGUUAUUGUACAAGACUUUGUAUCUCUUAUAUGAAAAUUGGGAACUUGGACUGGAUCAGGUUGACUCAUAUAUGGCAUCUGAGGCAAUGGAAUGUUGGACACUUAUGCAAGUUAAGUUCUGGAGUUGGAGCAGACGAAAUUAUAUCUUCAGUAGCUGCCAUGUUUUGUCGUUGAGAUCUCUGUGCCUUUCUUUUCCUCUGAUUUGGAAGCACAAUGUUUUCCUACAUCAACCAAAAGAGAUAUUUGUCACUUUAAAUAAAGUAAGAGAAAACCAGUGCCACAAGUAUAAGAAAUACUACAAGAGAGAGUACAGAAGUUCUUUUUGCUCCUUUUCUUGCAAUCGUCUUAGCAGGUCCACUACAUGUGUUUACCUGCACACAAAUUAUUAACUAACUUAAUAUGGAUAACAUAAUGAAUAUUAUAACUAAUGAAACUUAGUUUAAUUUUACUUACACAUUGAUUGUCUACCGUUGUAUCAGCACCAGUUUGAGAUGAGGCUUCAUUAAGAGAUAUUUCAAAUAGCUCAGUGCAAGAUCCUACUUGUUGGCUUGCACUUUGAGUAGCUUGAGUGCCUUCAAUUGCAGCAUUUUCAAGUUGCUCCUUCCGAAUAUUACAAGACCUUUUGUUAUGCCCUUUCUCACCACAGUAGUUACACUUAAUCACUUGCCCAACUCUAUUCAUUUUAUUCCCUUUCUCUUUUUUCUGUUGUAUUUCAUCUUCACCCUUUUUCCUCAGUUUUUUGGGCCUUCCUGGUGCUCUUCCAUAUGUUGGUGGAAGUGGAGGUGUAACAUGAGUAUGUGUCCAAUCAUGCUCCCCAUUGACAGGCAAAAUGCAAUUAGCAUAGCACUUGAGAUAGGCUUCAACACUAUAACAUUGAUCAAUAAAGUCCAUAGGGUCUUUACGAGCUAUCCAGAUUGCUGAAAUUGCAUGGCUGCAUGGAAUCCCGGUAAGAUCCCAUUUCCUACAAGUGCACAUUCUCUCUUUAAUAUUAACACAAUAUGUUUCUCCAUAAGGGCAGCCAACCUCAUAAUCAUCAUCAUUUGAUUUAAUAGGAAAACAUUGAGUAGCCAUAUCCAUGUUUUUCUUUACUCUUUUCAUGAUUCUUGGGCAGAAUUUCAAUUUCUUCCACUUGCUCUUAGCCAUAUCUCUGUUUUGCUGCAAUCUGGUCAUUACGUAGUGCCUCAAAGAUUCCAUCAGCCCCACAAUAUGCUCCUUUCUAGCAUGUAGAAUCUUGCUGUUAAAUGACUCACAUAUGUUGUUUAGCAACAUGUCACACUUGGAAAAGGUUCUAAAGUGUGAUCUAGUCCACUCAAUAGGCUGCUUUGUACCCAACCAUUUCGCAACCUCAAUGUCAAUUUCUGCCAAUUCCCUCAUCUUUGUACUGAAUUUUGCAAGUGUGGUUGCUUUAGCAGCUUUCCAUAGUGCACGUCUCAAAGUUGUUCCUUUAAAUCCAGCAACUGAAAAAUUACUGUGUAGAUGUUUAACACAAAAUCUAUGGUCACAAUUUGGAAACACUGCCUCACAUGCUUGUAUGAUGCCUUUUUGUUUGUCACUCAUUAUAGUCCAUUCAUAGUCUCUCUCCAUUUGAAGAUCCUCUCUCAACAAUGUUAGAAACCACAUCCACGAAUCUUUGGUUUCCCCCUCAGUUGCAGCAUAAGCAAUGGGAUAAAAUCCAUUGUUAGGAUCAACUCCCACAGCAGUUAGCAAUACCCCUCCUGCUGGACCCUUUAAGAAUGUCCCAUCUAAGCCAAAAAUAGGUCUACAAGCAGCUAGGAAUCCCUGUUUAACCCCAGCAAAACACAUGUACAAUCUUUGAAACUUUUGUUGUCUUGUGACCGCAUCACAAUACCCAUCUACUACUUUCAUAAUCACAGUAGUUCCAGGGUUACUCCUCUUUAUUUCAUUGAUAUAAUCAGGCAGUUUCUUAUAGUGAUCAGUCUCAUCCCCUUGCACAAUUUUUGUGGCAACUCUUUUUGCUCUAUAGCCUUGAUACUUGCUUAAAAAGCAUUUAUUUUCCUUCAUUAUCUUAUUUGUAAAGCUCUUAAGAUCUAGCUUCGGAUUUUCUCUAAUUGUCUCACAGUAAUUUUUUGCCACCCAACUUGAUCUUACACUUUCAUUAUGGUAAGAGAACCCACACUUGUGUUGCUUUUGAAAGGUUCUAACUUGCACACUGCCUUCCCCACUCAACUUUCUAGCAUAGAUGUACCAAUCACAACCUUCUCUAGGACACUUGGCCAUCACUUUAACUUUGUCAUGUUUAACAAACUUAAAUGGCCUUUCUCUCUUUAUAUUCCAGGUUCUGACCGCUUCCUUAAACUCCUUGAAAUUGCUAAAAUAUUGUUUAAGUUUAAUUUUAGGAUUAUGCAUGUCCUUGGGAUUAAACAUUGGUGGUUUCGUACAUUGUUCAUCACCACUUCCAUGUAGACUUUCAAAAUCAGAUUCAGAAUCUGGCGUAGCAUCUACAUCAGAGUUAUCAACAUCACUCUCAGAAUCACUUCCUAUAUCCCUCUGAGCUGCAGCAAUCAUUUUGCCUUUAGCAAUCAUUUUUCUUUCCUCUUCUACUUGAUUCUCAAUCCCCAACCAUUCUACAUUCUGAUCUACAUUAUCUUCAUAAUCAUCAUCAUCCUCUUCCUCCAUCUCAUAGUCCGAGUCCUUACCAGAAAAUUCCCCUGAGCUAGCAUCUGAAUUGCAACCAUUGUGUUCUUCAGAUUCACCAUUUAUACCUCCCUCUAAAACAUAAUCAUCAUCGUAAUCAUCCUCCUCAUAAUCAUACCCCAUUUGUAACCUCAAAAUUUCAGCAAAAGAAACCUCAAUGUAUAAGUCAACAUGCCUACCAUAAUCUAGAUAAUCUGCACAAUAAGCAUAUAAUUCCUUAUCAUGCCAAAGCCUGCGAAAUCCAUACUCUUCUACAAGAAUAUGGUACCUUUUAUCGCCGUAGACCCUUGCUUCAUUUUCAAGCAUUCUAUCCAUCUCAAACAGACUAAUCCCAGUCACUUCUACAUAAUCAAACACACAUAUUUCCCCUCCCUCAUAAUGUGCAUCAGGCCCAUUUAUACAUUUUCCCCAAAUAUAGCAUCUCAUGGUGAUUUUAGUGCUACCAUUUCCUAUAUUUCAAGAAGAAUAGUUCAAACAGUUAAACGAGAGCACAUAUCACUAUUAUGUAUGUAAGAAAAUUAAGACAUAUUGAUCAACAUUCAAAUUAAUACUAAGGGUUUAAUACUUCAACAAAACCACUUAUAAAAUGCCGAUUGCAAUGCAAAAAAAAUUUGAUAUUUUAACUACAACUAACAAAUAUUGAAACAUAAAAAUGGGAUAUACAGUAGAUUAUACUCUGGAUUAAAACUAUUUUUGUAAUUUCUAGGAGAAUCCAUUGUCCAUUUGCUUUAACAUUCCCAAAGAUUAGUUUUUUCAGAUGAUAAAUGAUAUUUUGUUACUUCUAAUUUCACCCUAAACUCAAUAUUGCUGUAAAAAUUAGAUGAGGUCAGUCGUAUUUACUUACCAUCAUUUGGGGGUGGCUCAUUAUUCAAUUCUUCGCUUCUGAUUGACAUAUCGGUUCACAAUUGUUUGAUGCUCCCCAGAAUCUGCCAAGUUUUUUCGAAUUUUUGGAGCCAACUUGAAUUUUUGUUGAAGUUCGGUUCUUGGGUUUUCUAUUUGAGAGCGAAGCAAGAGGAACGAAACAGAUACUAUGUGAUGUUGUCUUCUUCUUUUAUUUUUUAAUUGACUCAUGAUGUUAUUUAGUCCUUGGGUCCUUGGGUUUUUUGUUUAUUACGUUAUUAGUCCUUAAAUUUAAUAUUUAGUAUUAGAAUGGCAUUUGACAUUUUUUUGGCCCUUUUUUAUACAAUUGUGGCCGGACAUGUGACUGUCACAUGACUUUUUUUGGUAGCAAUUUGAGAAAAAAUCAUCAAAGGUACUUAAUGUGCUCAAAAUUUGAAAGAUCGGGUACCACAUUUGCUUUCGUCCAAAAUUUGGGGACUAAAACCGCUCCUGCAUCAUAGUUUAGGUACCAAAACUGCAUUUUUCUCGAUUUUUUUUCUAGUUCUUUCACUUUGACCUUCAACUUUGCGAUUCUCCUUUCUUGUCUUCUUACUUCUUCUUCAUACGCAUCUCUUUGCUGUUCAGCUACAUUAAUUCUUUUCAGAAGCCCAGGUAUGAUCUCCGUUGACCAGCUGCACAUCUCCUUGUCAAUCCAUUGCCAAAAUCUGCAGCCACCAUCCGCGCACACCGCAAAUCUCCGCCCAGGAUUUCUUGAGGUCCACGAAGUUAUCACCCUCGACAUUUUCUCACACCUGCACAAUGGGAAAGUCGGAUUGUUGGUUUCUCGCAUGCUUCUAGUUCAACAACUUCUUUGGCUGCAAUGGAGUUUUUCUUUGUUCAAGUUCGGGAAGAAGUCCCAUUUUAUCGAGUGGAACACAGCUCAUUAUGGACAAAAAUGCCCUUCGUAUUCGGCAUACAUCUCACGUGGUCGUAGAUUCCGUUGGUAUUAACUGCUGAAUUUGACAGAAGGUCUAACAUUUUAUACUUUGGAUAGAUCGGGAGCCAAAAGUUUACUUUUAAUUGUUUGGGAGGCAAAAGUUCAUCCGAGUAAUAGUUUGAGGGCCACUAAGACUUUUUGCCCUGUAAAGAAUUCAACCCCAAAUCUGACACCAGAAAAGAUUCUAACGGUCUUUUUUGAUCACUGGCCAACUCCAAGGAUUCUGAGAUACUUGUUUAAAGAUGUUAACCUGACUGACUAUAUUAUAUAUCUACAGCUGUACUUAUGCUUGGGGUAAAUUUUGCUUUUUUUUUUUUUUUGUUAAAAGAAAAAUGAUGGAGAAGAGACCACACAAUUGGCAGGUAAGAAUAAGGCAAUAAGCAGUAGGGUAGCUCACCUGUUGUUGGUAAAAUAGCAUGCCAAUGAAGGCUAUUUUACCAGGCAAAAGAAAACGUCGUUUACAGGCCCAUUGUUCAUAUCCGGAAUUUUACCAGGCACCCAAAAAAGGAAGAAAAAGGAAAAAGACUAAUUAGAAUGAGAAGAAAUUAUUUGAAUUACACCUGCUCACACAUUGACCUUUAUAUUAAAGUAAAUUCUAGUAUAUUGUAACUAAAAACUAUGCGGAUAUCAGGCAAAUGAAUGAAUGAUUGUGGGAUUAAAGUUUCGCCAUUAGAUUUCUUCACGUCUUGUUUAACCAAAAUAAUUGACAUAUGUAUAUGAUUACUUAGAACUGUAAUACGUUCACUGACCAGUCAAUUUCAAUCUCCAAGAAGAGUCUUCUGCUUCUUUUUUCCUUAUGGAUGAAGAUUUCUUCUACUUUUUUUCUAUCGAAAUUAAGAAGAGUCAUAGAGCCAAGAAUUUUUGCUAUUGGCGAAGCUUGUCUGCCCAUCAAUCCCCUGCCGCCAUUCGAUUCUGUUUCUAAUAAGAAGGGAAAAACGUUUCGCUGCUCAUUGACCUAAUCAGCUACUUGACCCUUUCAACCAAUUAAUAUUAUUGAUGACGAAUAGAUAGGCGAAAUCUGUGUCGAAGAUGAAUAGUUAUUAUUUCUUGGUCAGUGAGUCAUGUCGAUUUACUAUUUACUGAUAUAUGCUCUCUCACGAGAUCAUCUAUCUAUCUGGCUCACAUCUGCAAACCAAUGGCUGAUCGACUUGCAUGAACCGGCAAAUAUAAAGAACGACGCAAACGCAUGCUCUCUCGUUCAUCCAACCACAACCACGACCACGCUGAAUUCAAACUUCUAAGAGCCACCAGUCACAAACAUGGAAAUCAAAGUCAAAGAUGGCAAGAUCCUUGUAAUUAAUGCAACGUUAUGGGCCAAUAUUUUGCCCUUCUGUAGUAGCAUAACCAGCACAACAAACCAUGCAGUGAAUAUAAAUCCAUAUGCCCGGCCAGAGUCGUUAAGAUUUUUUUUUGGUGACCAUUUCUCGCCCGCCGGUUGUUGCCAAUUAAUAUAAAUUAAAUCCAUCCCCUUAAUGAUAACGUCAGCUCUUAGUCUUUAGAUAGCAAAAUAGCUGUCUCCUGGAGACCAAAUUUUUCUAGCAAAUGCUAGAAUUUUCAACUUUUGUAUCUCUAGAAAGUUCAAAGUUAUGAAGAAAGAAGAAAAGGUUUGUCCCUUUGCAAUUUGUCAGAGAUGUGUUAUAGCUGACUAUUAAAAUGGACAAUAUAACUUCGUGGUUGAAUGCUCGAAGUCAGAGUUCUGCGUCCCAUGAAUUUUCUUUCUGAUUAAAUGAAACAGGUUUAGGGUUGCUGUGCAAUAUGAGACUCCAGCUUAGUAGACGAAUUGGAUAAAUUUAUGAGGUCAGCCUUAGCACGAAAGAUCCGGUCCACUGAUGCCGGUCUGGAGCAUUAAAACAUAACCCCCCCAAGAAACAUGGAACAGCAACGCAUAACAGUUCAGUUCAGCUCAUUGAUUCCAACCAAAUACUAACUGCCAUCGGAGGAAAAAAAAAGAAAAAACGAAAGUGUUUUAAGAAGGCAGCAAGCUAGCUUGUCUUGUGAAGUUGUGAUGGCCAGGGAUCAUAAAGCAUGGCAUAGCGAGCCACACUACACACCAGGCAUAUUGGGUGCAUUAAUUUUGGUUGGGGCAAAGUGAGUGGAAGAACUAGCUGGAACGGCUAUCAUUUGGUUUCCUAGUAUGAUUUUGAGCCUCGUGAUCCAAAAUAAUUAGUGGAAGGAAAUGUCUUUACUUAGUAUCAUCACAUUAAAUGGUAAACUUUCAACUUUGGUCCGUUAGAUUUUAGUAAUAAAGUGCAUGCCAUGGCAAAGGACAAUGUGUAAUUAAAGUUGUAGUUGACGAAUAUAUUCUUGGCUUUAGGCGCUCUAAAUAUCUUGUUGCUGGGCUUUUGCGGUCCUGGCCAAUAAUCACCCGAGUUGGAAUUGGAUAAAACAUUAGUAUUAUUAUCAUGCCGACCGUAGAUCUACGAGAAACACGAGGUAUGCCGUCUUGAUUAGAUGCAGAGGUGUGCCCAUGUCAAAGAACAACAUAAAUCUGUUGAUGCAUCGAGUCCUGUAAAACGGAUAGGUGGCUUUGAUAUCCUAUACAGUCAAAUUAAUGAGCAAGUUUUGAAUUUGCACCAUGCAUCCCAAUCCGGCAAGUAAUCAAGACAAAUGUUUACCGGGUACCCAAGAUACAUUCGCAUUGAUCACAAACAACCGAGACUAUAUAUGAUGUGUAGAAGGAUCAUAUACAAUAUAUAUACGCACAAAUGCUCAUGCAUAAGACAUGAGAAAAAUGAGGGAGUAAGAACAAAGAUAUAUACUAUAUCGUCAGGGCUGCUUUUGCCCCUGCGUGUAUAUAUAGUCGAGAUGAGCCUCCAGUGUUCUUCUCAUCAAGCACUCAUCUUCUCCAAGUCCUUCGCAACUCUCCUCUUUAUCUACCUUCUCAACAUGAUCAUUCUACGUACAAGACCAAAGACACAGAUUAAUUACUAGCAUCAAAAUAUGUGUAUGAACCAGUACUCGAGCCAAAAUCAGAAACAAAUAAUAAUAAUAAUAAUAAUAAAGAUGACCAUCAGAUGAGUUGAUAUGCAUCAUACCACACGAUGACCAUGAUGAGUUUCCAUCGGAGUUACGUCCUGAAAUGUAGCCACCGGCCGGGCAACCGCGUAAGAUAGGGUAAGAAAAAGUAGAAGGGAUACGAUGCAAAGGGUGCUAACCUUGGACAUUUUUGUGAUACCUAGAUAGUGCCUAAUAUUCUAUAUAUCUAUCUUCUCCCAAGAAGGGUAGGCAAAGAUAUGAAGACUGUUGAGGGCAAUAUAUAUGUAUAUUUAUAGGGAGGGAGAGGAAAGAGGGGCUUGCUGGGGAGGAUGUGAGAUGGGUAGUAGUUUAUCCGGAUGCUGAAAGUAACCCGGACGGCCCUGAAUUUGUUUGACAAAUGCUAGAAAAAUGCUUGGCCUAUCUUUUUCAUGGUUGAAUAAUACGACUACUACAACUAUGAUGAAUAAUAUGAACUAUGAAGACCUCUAGAAGGUUCAUGAAUGGUGUAAUACUCUAUUGGAUGGAUUAGUCAAAAUGGAUGAAAUAUGUAUGUGAGCAAGGACUUGUUAUCUAGAAGAGACAUUUGGCCGAGUGUUUCAGGUUUCUGGGAUGUUGCCUUUUACACGGAAGUAUCCACAAGCAAUUGACUGCGGUUAAGUCGGAAGGUUCUAUCUGUAUGCUCCUUCUAAGCAGGGAUGCCACGUACCAUCACCAUGCCAUUUAAAAGUAAUCCUGCCCACAACUUAAUUUGGAAAAUUAGAUCAGCUUAAUUAGCAAUUUCUUUCCUAUUUUGGGCUUUCAUAUUUGUAGUACAAUCUCUCAUUUGCACAUUUUUUAAGUUGUGCGCUGUUUUCUUGAAAAGGUGAAAUGCACGUGGAAAUGGAAAACUUCAAGAAUAAAGAGCAGCGGAAUUAAUGGAAAGUGUACUAUUUCAUUCUAGCAUUCAUUAAGCUCCCUGAUUUGUUACUUUUGAAUUUUUUUUUAUCAGACUUUUGAAGUUAGUUAAUUAAACUUAAUCCCAAAUUUAACUCCAAAAGUCGACAACUCUUGAAACAAACUUGAUUUGUUACUUUUGAAUGGUACGAGAUAUCUUUGAAUUGGUUAGACUUGAGAGAAGAUCAAUAGAUUACGUACAAAUGAUUUAAUUUCAUGGAGAAAAUCUUCAAAACUCGGUGAAAAGCAGCAAUUAAUGCAAGGACAACAAUUAAAAAUGACAAAUACGGAUGCAUAAGUGCUAAAAACCAAUUAACAUGUUCAUGAUGAUGCCCAAUGUCCUUGAGGUGCAACAGCCCACAAUGAGCUACACAUAUGCCCGCACUGAUCAUGAUGAAGUCUAGCAUGCAUGCUCCUGCUCCUCAGAGAUUCUGAGAGUUGACCGGACCACGGGGAUCAUAACCCAUAAUGAUUCAGUUAAUUACUAGCACCGAGUGAUUAUUAUCUUGUAUUAAGGAAAGAUCCAAUUGCAUAAAAUGGCUAGUUCUAACAAUGCAAAAGUUGACCAUGAGCCAUACACACACACAUACAUACAUAAACACAUAUGGUGGGGUAGGUUUAAAAAUUAAAAGUUAGAAUGUUCGUUAGGAUGAUAAGUGAGCCAUAAAAGGUGAUGGAAACUUUUCUGUUUUGUCAGAAUUUCAACUUUAUAACUCCACGUUAAUCUUGUCACCACUAUGACUGUAUCUUUUCAACCUCCACCUGAUCAGUUUCUUGAGGUACGAACAGACAAUUCUAGACAAUUCUGCAAUUGUCCCAUCAAAAUGCCCUAACACACACACACACACACACACAAAACGUAGUUGAUCGAGGAGGAAACAUGCAACCUGCGGUGGAGGUUUGAAGGUUGAGUUCAAUCAUUAUUAAUGAGGUGCCGCCAUUUGAUUAUGGACUGCUAGAGAUUCUUGGUGGAACCAAUGGUUAUAAAACUUACAAUACAUGUUUUGUGGCCUCAAUCAUGCAACCUGUGAAGCCUUUUGCCGCGGUCGAUGGUUAUUGCUAUCGGCCGCUCGUACAAAUACCAUUAGUCUCAAUCAUCAUGCAUGCGGGUCUCUGCUUUUGCCCGGACGUUUGUGCUGACUAGUGACUACACACGCACAUACAUAUAUAUAUAUAUAUAUGUAUGUAUAUAUACAAAACAAAAACGAAAAAGAAAAAGGAGAUUGCAGAAGCAGAAAACACAAUCACAACAGUUACACAAGUCCUUUCACCACUUGUGAAAUGCAGUUUCAGGUUGUCGGAAAAAUUUGUUGACCGUACUCUGACUUGACAAAAGAAUAAAGAAAAAGAGUAACAGGAAGAACACUUCGAUUAGGAAAAUUUGGCUGGUGAUUUCAGCGGGCAUGCAUGGGCUUGCAUUUUGCGGAUAGAUACGUCUCUGCUGAACUUGUAAUAACACAGCCCCCGAUUCCAUUCAUUGGCCAUCUCUGAAUAGACAUUAAUCAUCUUAUAAAACUGGUAAUCUUUGUUAGCUCCACAGCCUAUCCAUACCCAAUGACCAACUUUUGUGAACAAAUUAUUUACCUCCUAAUUCUCCACGCACUACUUGGAAGUAAGGGUGGAUUUGGAGAGCCCUUUUUUAUUUUUUUUUAAUAACUGCAUUUUGAGUUUCACCUGUGUAUAAAACAAUUAUCGAUUUAGUUCAAAGCGGUAAGUUUGACAAGAAAUUAUCAGGCUGUAUCUUCCAUUGAACUGAAUUUAUUAGGUAGUGCAAGAUGCACAGAGAAAGUUCAAGAGACGAGGCAAAAGCCAUGCAACAAAACCCAAUGCUUAAACGGAGGCAUUAGAACCAGCUGUUAUAAGCAUAAAAAGGAGCAGAAAAAUAUAGAAUUUUGUGACACUGAUGAAAGUCAAUCUGCAGAAAAAAGCAUAAUGGAGCUAUUUCGAUCGCACUCUCAAUACUCAAGUGUUAUCAGGAUACAAUCGGUGAAUGCACGUUGCACAACCUAUACACCACUCGAAAACCUGUUUAUUAUGGAUGCUAGGAAUGAAGCCCUAAGGAUUCACUGGGUAAUAUUAAUCUGUCAAGCCUUAGAAAUAAGAAAUACCUAGUAGGGUCAGACUGAGAGCCACUGAGAGCCACAGCAGGUACAUAAUUCAAAAUUUUAGAUAGCAUCUCUAUGGUUAUUUGAUCUCAGAACAAUACGAUUACAGCUAACAAGAUGGCCAAAUUGCCAAGAAAGGAACCGAAAGCGCCAAGUUCAAAAUCUUUUUUCCUUCCAUAAAUAUCUCAAAAAACUCUAUGUUGCUUAUGACUCUACAAUACCAAAAGUCCACAUGACAAUUAAAAAGACUGGAGCAAAUCUAAUCUGAAGUACACUUACUGCAGCAGAACUCUAAGCAAAUUCAAUGCUAUUUACAAGAGACGAGCAAGAAUUAUAAAUUAUUACUCCAAAAAGCUACCGAACCUCCCCAUCCUCAUCAAUUUCUCCACCCCUGUACUCAUCA
rnacentral:lncRNA from 1 species